rnacentral:lncRNA from 1 species
AAUUCUCAUUGGCUAAUCUUUAAUGACAAGGAUUGCCUUUUGGGCUACCAAACACCGUCGAUAGAGUCCAUCCAACGGACAAAAUCAUCUCAAAAUUUCCCUUCUCUCUCGUCCAUAAUUCUUUCCUUUUCUAUAAUCAAUUUUUUUUCCUCCUUACUUUUUCUCCUCUGUUCUCUUUCUCGCCGUAUCCUCUUCGUCAAGUUCAUGUGAAAUCAUGAAACUCAGAGGAUUAAAUCUUUAUUCAAUCAAUCAAUGAUUCCUAGAAGGUUAGUUCUCUCUUUUUUCAAAUAUGGAGAUCGAUCUAGGGAAAUCGAGAUUUUGUUAUGUGUUUUAAUUAUUUUUUUGGCAGAUCUGAAGAAUUCGUUAUUUGUAUUUUGGGUUUCAUUAGUAGAUCUGAAGAAUCAACGUUAACGAAAAUGGUGAAUCUAAAGAACUGGAGACGUCGGAGGUCGUGGUGGUAGCUUAGGACCACUGUUAAAGACGAUGACGUUCACCACCACCACCACAUCUGGAAGCCUCCGCCAAUUCACCCCCAACAUACGUGAACUCGAACCCUCCACCGUUGCAUCUCAGAUCCUCUGGCCGCCGCCAUGGUUUUGUUCUCCGACGCCUACGGUCGCUCCGUCCAUCGUCGAUGUCAAUUUUGUAUAAAUGUAUAGAUAUAUAUAUAUAUAUAUAUAUAUAUAUAUAUAUAUAUAUUGUAUUUGUCUGUUUGUAAUGAAUUUAAAAAUAAAUAAAAUUAUAUUUCUUUCAUUUUAUUUAAUUUGUAUAUUAAAAUUAGUUUGUUUUUUUUUUAAAUUUUUUUUUUUGUAGUUUGUUACUAAAAGGUCGCUAAUAUACCAUUCCACUUACAGUCACAAUUUGGUCUCUAAUAUACGACUAUUAAUAUCCGUCACUAAACCGUCGUUUAUGUACGACUACAUAAAUCCGUCUCAAAAGCGUCAUAAAUAUGCGACAUUUAUGCGACCAUUUUAUUUAGCGACUGUUUUUUAGCGACCAACUUAAAUAGUCACAAAAUAGUCGCAAAUAGCGAUUUUACGACCGUUUCAGGACUAAUUUAGGAGUCACAAAAAGCUUGUUUUCUUGUAGUGCGUGUUACACUGAAAGUUCGGACCAAUUGGCCGAUAUCUUUACCAAGGCAGCAAGUACCCAAGCUUGCAAGUUUAUUCAUGGCAAACUCGGACUUGUAGACCUAACACACCCUUGAGAGAACUUCCCUGCUUAUGUCAAUGAUACUCUUUUUCCCUAAGAUUGGUUUUGUCCCACGUGGUUUUCCAAUCUUAGGUUUUUAACGAGGUCACUCGCAUAAGUGUCAAGUUUAUAACAAUGAUUAUUGUAGUAUAAACUUGAGGGGGAGUAUUGAUCAAGAAGACAUUUUAUUCUAACUAAGUAAUAGUUAUGAAUGAAAUGUGUUUCUUGUUAUGCAAGUAACUGGUUUGAAUAAGAGGAAGAGAGGUAACGGUCAUCUUGGACCGUACGGACGCGGGAAGGAGACCAUCCUUAUCCGGAUGGUGCUAAGCGCGUGUACGGCCGUGUCGUGUAGUGUAUGACCGUUGUCAUGAGCUGGAAAGUGGCUAAAGCACACGGUGACUCACUAGGCUGAAUGAGGAUGCUUUUAAGGUUAUGUGCAUACCCAUCUUGACCUAGUGAGCUCCCUAUAUAAAUCGUGUGCAGCCCCAAACCAUUUGUAACUUUUAUCACAUUACAAUCAAUCAUCUUUCUCUCUAUUAUUCACCAUGUUCAUCUCUAUCUUUCCUACUUGAUUCUAAGUCUUUUCAAUUAAAUCCUGAUGUCUCAUUGUUUUUUAAUGUUAUUAAUCCCCAUUUGUCACUGUACUCCCGCAGAAAUCAAUUAAGAACGAAAUAUAUUGCUUAACCGGAACAGUGUACGUAACUGAACCGCUAAACUGAACCGUACAGUGAACAGUGCAUCGGUACGCUGGUAGGGGUAAAAUGGUCAAAUUUUGGCUAAAUUAUCAAAACUUGAAAGCCAAUUCUCACUUUGCCAAAACAUGAAAUUAAAACUUGGUCUUAUGCUCUGCCAUGCAAUUUACUCUUGUUAAUAAUAAUAAAUUAAUCACAUUUAAACAUUUGACCAAAAACCGUUUCUGCAAGUUGAAGUAAUUUGGGCAACCAAUGGAAGGAUUACCGAUUACGUUUGCAAAUUGUGCUACUAACUUACUAUAACGACAUAUUAUAUUCUAGAAAAAUGAAAUGCAUGUGGUUAUGAAAAUUUCAAAAUUUGAUUUGUGUUAAGAAAAGCAUGUGGUUAAAAAAAACUGAUGUGUAAUGUGUUACUUACUAAUUAUAUGCUUUUUCGUCCAAAAAAAAAAAAAAGGAUGUGGUUACGAAAAUUUGAUCUGUGACGACUUGUUGUAAUAUUAUUCGAUCGUUUGUCAUAAUCUUAUCCGGACAAGGGACAACACAUGAUUAGUAAUGUAAUUAGAGAAAAGGACCAUAAUGCUCUUAAAUCUUUUAAAUAAAAUGUUAAAUGUUAUCUUCACAUUAAAAAAUAAAAACAAACAUAUAGUAUUGGACGUUAUUUUCACAUUACACAAUAUGACAAAAACUUUUAGAUGUUAAUAUUUAACAUUAUUAUUACAAGAUGACACAAACUCGUCUUCAUACUUUAACAUCGUUCAGUGUGCACCACAUGCGAGUAGGGUAGUCUCUAUAUAUAAAUUCGAAUCUAUAAUACAGCCUGGUCUUUGAUUUGUACUUAAAAUCGUUUAAAUUUUUUCUUCUUCUUCACUAACUAGCUCAUUGAUUCGUUUAAACUCCAUCAAGGUACGACUCUUUUUGUUUUCGGUUGUGUUCUGUUAGAUUUUUGAUAUAUAAAUUAUCUGGUUUUCAGUUUUCACUGUUCUUUGUUCUGUUUUCUUACCCUUUCUUGAUCCCGAGUGCCAAGUUUGUUCAUGAAUCUUGUGAAUUGGUAAAUAGAGCCUUUAAUUUGACUUUUGAAUCUCAUACUAUGGACAUAAUCUCUUUACCUCUUCUAUGGUUAUUGCCUUAUUGGACUCCAUAAUCCUUGUAGCCAAAUAUUAAAUUUUCAGUAGUUUCAGAAAACAGAACAACAUGGAAGAUCGGUGCUCGAUCAAGAACGAUGUCACUGAAGUAAAAAUCUCUAAGUUCUUAUGUAUCACUUUACUUUCUUGAAAUAAAGAACGUGUGUAAGAUCAUUUGAUAUGAUUGUGCAGUUGAUUGGUAACACACCAAUGGUGUAUCUGAACAAUGUUGUUGAUGGCUGCGUGGCUCGUAUCGCUGCAAAGCUUGAGAUGAUGGAGCCUUUCUCUAGUGUCAAAGACAGAAUCGCGUAUAGUAUGAUCAAAGAUGCAGAGGAGAAAGGAUUGAUUACUCCCGGAAAGGUUAAUAGAAACAUUUAAAGUUAUCAUAUAAUUUUCUCCAAUUUCAUAGAUGGAAUUAAAUUGUUUUUUAUUGAUUAUAUAGAGUACAUUGAUUGAGCCAACGGCUGGUAACACCGGGAUUGGUUUAGCCUGUGUCGGAGCUGCAAGAGGCUAUAAAGUGAUCCUUGUGAUGCCUUCAACUAUGAGUUUAGAGAGAAGAAUCAUUCUUAAGGCAUUAGGUGCAGAGCUUCAUCUCUCGGAACAGCGGAUAGGCCUUAAAGGAAUGUUGGAGAAAACCGACGCGAUAUUAAGCAAAACUCCUGGUGGUUACAUUCCACAACAGUUUGAAAAUGCUGCAAACCCCGAAGUUUGUAUAAUAAUAUCAUGCAUCCACCAAGAAUAUGUAUCCUUUGAGUCUCUCUGUUAUGGUUGAAUUCAAGUUUGUAUCCUGCAGAUUCAUUACCAAACCACGGGGCCGGAAAUAUGGAGAGAUUCAGCUGGGAAAGUAGAUAUAUUGGUUGCUGGUGUUGGGACUGGUGGAACAGCUAGUGGAGUAGGGAAGUUCCUCAAGGAGCAGAAUAAAGACAUAAAGGUUCAAAAAACUUCACCAAUUCUUGAAAACAACUAACACAUUGGUUUUUUUUUUUUUAAAUAAUUCGGUUACAAUCUUGAUCUAUAGGUUUGUGUGGUGGAACCAGAAGAAAGUCCGGUACUUAGCGGAGGCCAACCAGGUUAGAAAAUGAGCAUUUGAUAUUUGAUAGAUCUUAUGCAACAAAUAUUAUUUAGCUUUUGUUUGGUAUGAGAUCCAACGUAUAUAUAUAGUGAGAACAUUAACAUACGCUCCAAGUUAUCUUCAAGAUCAUCGUUCUUUUGUCCGAGUUCUUACAUUUCUAAUGAUAAUAUCGGUUCUUGGGACUUCAUAUUUGUAGGUCCACAUUUGAUCCAGGGAAUUGGCUCUGGAAUCAUCCCAUUCAAUUUGGACUUAACAAUUGUUGAUGAAAUUAUUAAAGUAAGUAAGCCUGAGAUGAUCUACUUCUUGAUCUUGAACAAGCAAUCUAAGAUCUGGAAUCUUUUGAUUUAGGUGACAGGUGAGGAAGCUAUUGAAACAGCCAAGCUUCUUGCCCUCAAAGAAGGAUUAUUGGUAUACUCGGUUAACGUUGUUUUCUCGGUGUAAUAAACCCGAAAUUUGACAAAAACAAAAAUGAAGUUUCUGUUAAAUGUGAUCACUCAUUUGGCAGGUGGGAAUAUCCUCUGGAGCCGCAGCAGCGGCUGCGUUAAAGGUUGCAAAGCGGCCAGAAAACACAGGAAAACUCAUUGCAGUAAGCUCUGUCUCUGACUCUGACUGACCAUAAGCUUUGACUUAACCGAACUAUUACCGGGUUUGUUAAUAUCCCGGUUAUUGUUUGGUUUGCAGGUGGUUUUUCCCAGUGGGGGAGAACGUUAUCUAUCGACUAAAUUGUUCGAUUCGGUUAGAUAUGAAGCAGAGAAUUUGCCUAUUGAGUAUUGAAUGAAUUGGAUUAUGGGGGACGUAUGAUUCGGUUUGGUUUGGUUAAGAGAUGUUGCUACCAAGAUUACAGUUUGAUUACUACUGGUCACUGUAAAAUCUAGAUAACUUAGACAUUCGAUGAUGAAUAAUUAUAAUUGUGGUUUUUCAUUAACUAUUUGUAUAUUUCUACUGUAAUCCCCGGUAUAAAACAUGAACUUUGAUAAAACAGAAUCAUUUACAUGGAAAACCAUUGACUCUUUGGUUUGAUGUUUCUAAUGAACAUUUUUGGUUUGGUCUGUGUUUAUACAUUCUCAACAAUUACUCUAUCUUUAACUAUUUUUUGUAUCAAUUGCAAUUGCAAAGUUCCUCUUUUAUCUAAAAUUCUCUAUUCAAUCGAUUAGAUUUUUCAUAUUUGUAAAGAAAAACAAUACAUUUAUUACAAAAAAACUCUCUCUUUCUGGGCGACUCUAGAAGCGACUCAACAGUAGUUCACCGCCUUAAUUUCUUCAGUGAUUUCGACUUCCGCCGGCAGCGGAUUCUCUUUCCGGUUAUCGGAUCUAUUAAUUUCUCAUCAUGGGUGAAAAAGAUCUGUGGCUUGCUUUGCAAAAUCUCAAUUUAGGCUCGGAGAGGACACCCUUGACGCUAUCCGUAGAGGCAAAUAAGAAGCGAGAAACGGAUCAUCGCCUCAGUCUUGUGGUAAAAGGUUUGCAUCCCUCACAGAACCCAGCAGGUAUCAAGGUCAUUAUGCCAAAAAUUUGGAAACUUGAAGGGCGAAUCACAAGCCGAAUCAAUGAAGAUGGUUCUGUCCAAAUUUUCUUUCAACAUGAACAUCAAAUGCUUACAGUUCUGGACAAGGGACCAUGGACCUAUAAAGAUUGGCUGGUGGUUGUUGACAAAUGGACUCGAAGGAAUUAUCCUGAUUAUCUCUGUGUAAUCCGUUUUUGGAUCAAAAUCCUAAAUAUACCUGAUGAUUGCAAGGAAGAUAGAUCGAUUAAGGAGAUUGGGGGUGUUUUGGGUUUAAAUCAUGUGGAGGAAGUCUUCAUACAACAACCAAUUGCAGACAAAGCUGGUGAAGUAUGGGUUCGUGUUCCUUUUGACAUAUCAGGAAAGUUAAUCUUUGCACGUUAUUUCACUUUGGAAGAUCAUCGUGAGCCUGUUCUGAUUCGCUAUAUUUAUGAAAAACUUAGAAAGUUUUGUUCUACUUGUGGGAGCCUCACCCAUAUGGCAGCAACUUGCAACACCCACAUUCAGGAAGUGGAACCACUCCCUCUGCCAGCUCCUAUACAUGAGUCCAAUAUGGAGCAAAACAGAGAUACUAAUAUCCAGAUGGAUUCUGAAUCUCACACACCCACACAAGUAGCUGAUGAUACCAUGGGUGAAACAGUGGGAUCCAAUAUCAAUAUGGACACAUCAGAGCAUCAUCAACCCACGGGUUCUCAAGGAGAUAUCAUGGAAUAUUUUCAUCCAGCUGAAGUCCAAGCAGGAAUAAAUCAAACCUUUACCAUUCGUAAAAUAGAAUCUGCUUCAAUGACACAGCAAGAUAGAGGAAUUUAACGCAAGAUUGACGUGGCUGACGAUGAAGAUGAAGCUUCAACAUCUCAAAGAAGAACAAAGGCACCUGAACAGACAACGGAUGCAGGGGAGGUGGCAACCCCGAAGCCACCACUAGCAGAAUGAGGAUAUUGCACUGGAAUUGUCAGGGGCUAAAGAGGAACCCUCUGACAAUUCCUUACCUAAAAGAUAUCAUGAAGUCUUCUAAACCUGAUAUCUUGUUCCUCAUAGAAAUAAUGAACGGCUUUAACUAUGUGAAUAGUCUAGCUACGGAUCUCUGCUAUAAUCAUAGCUAUAUUAUCCCUUCAGACGGCCUUAGUGGAGGAAUGGCUAUUUUUUGGAAUGACAGUGUGCAUAUUGACUUUUUGGAUCCUCCUACUCUAAACUACACGGAUAUGUAUCUUCUUCUAGUCAUCCUACUUUUUGCCUCACUUAUGUUUAUGGCGAUCCAGAUCAGAAACACAUGAAUGCUAUGUGGGAGAAAAUGAUGGUCUAGGCCCAAGGAGGAAUGUAUCGCAGCAAGCCUCGACUAGUUCUUGGGGAUUUCAAUGAUAUCAAGAGUAAUGCUGAAAAAAUAGGAGGUCUAGUACGGUCUGAGAAUUCUUUCAAAAUAUUCAGGCGAAUGCUCCAAUCCUCUGGUCUUCAUGAUUUGAAAACAGUGGGUGCAAAAUAUACAUGGUAUGGUCAAAGAUACACACAUACUGUCCAAUCAAGAAUUGACAGAGCUGUAGCUUCAGCAUAUUGGUUAGAUGCUUUUCUUUUCCUUAAGCCUAUGUACAGCUAUUGGAUUGGAUAGGAUCUGAUCAUCGUCCACUGUUGCUUGAUACGGGUGUUAAAAAAAAAGAAGAGGAUAUGCUUUGUUCAGAUAUGAUAAUCGUUGGCGAUUUAACAAGGAGUUAAAGGAAGAACUGAAAAAAACUUGGACAGCUGAUUGUCAAGAUCUACCUGGAGAUCAAUUUCAUGAAGCUCUGAAAAGAUGCAGAUCUUGUAUGUCCCGCUGGAAGUCGUAUAAUUUCCACAACUCAGCUAAAAGAAUUCAAGAUCUAAAGGAAAAAAUCAAGCAAGCGUAUAAUACUUCUCCCAUUGAUUUCAAUCGCAUAAAAGCUUUAAAAUCUGAGCUAACAAUUGAAUACAGGAUGGAAGAGGAGUAUUGGAGAAUCAAAAGUCGUAUCCAAUGGCUUUAGGCGGGAGACAGAAACACAAGAUUUUUUCAUGAGAAAACAAAGCAAAGAAGAGGAUACAAUAGAAUCACGGCAAUUGCAGAUUCUCAAGGCAAGGUUUGGUACUCUGAAGAGGAUCUUAACAGAGUAAUAAUAGAUUAUUUUGAUGCUCUCUUCUUUUCUGAUUGUCAAGAAGAUAUGGCUGAGGCUUUGCAGCACAUUCAACCUCGUGUAUCCCAGGAAAUGAAUGAUGAUCUUGUAAAACCUGUUACUGAGGAAGAACUAUAUAGAGCUGUUCAUCAAAUGGCAAGAGAAAAGGCUCCAGACCCUGAUGGCUUAAAUCCAGGUUUUUACCACGCCAUUGGGCUACUAUUCGAUCAGGUGUGUUGAAAUUUGCACAGCCUUUCUUUGAAAAUUUUAAUUUGGAUCCUGCUAUCAAUCAUACACAUAUCUGUCUGAUCCCAAAAAUAGACCAUCCUACUGAAGUCAAGGACUAUAGGCCUAUUAGUCUUGCUAAUGUUGCCUAUAAAAUUUUAUCAAAAGUUCUAGCAGAAAGGCUCAAACCUUGGUUGAACACUAUCAUCUCUGAAAACCAAACUGCUUUUAUUCCAGGAAGGAUGAUUACUGAUAAUAUUCUGAUUACUCAUGAGUUAAUACAUUCUCUCAAUACUAGAAGGCGUGUUCAACCUUUUAUUGCUACUAAACUUGAUAUUACUAAAGCUUUUGAUAAAGUUGAAUGGUCUUUUAUUGAAGCUGUGAUGCAAAGGAUGGGAUUUUCAGAGACUUGGUGCAAAUGGAUUAUGAAGUGAAUCACUACUGUUACCUACUCAGUUCUUGUAAAUGGUCAGCCUGUUGGGAAUAUUACUCCCCAUAGAGGCAUUCGUCGAGGUGACCCCAUAUCAUCUUACUUAUAUUUGUUAUGUACAGAGGGUCUAUCUGCUUUAAUCCAAAAGAACAUUAAAUCAGGAAAUAUUCAUGGUUUCAAAGCAAGCCGAACUGGUCCUGCAAUCUCACAUCUACUCUUUGUAGAUGACUCUUUGCUAUUCUGCAAAGCCACAGAAAGCGAGUGUUCAUCUCUACUUCACAUCCUCCAUCAAUAUGAGAAAAUUUCAGGUCAAGCUGUUAAUAUCCAGAAAUUUGCAAUUACUUUUGGUAUAGGAACUGAUUCAGAAACAAAAAAAUGUAUUAGUCAGAUUCUGGGAAUUCAUAAAACUAAGGGCUUUGGUAGAUAUUUAGGCCUCCCGGAGUUUGUGGGACGUAAUAAAACGAAUGCUUUUUCAUAUCUUGCUCAGAGAGUUGAUCAGAAAAUGUCAAAUUGGUAUACAAAAUUUCUCUCACCUCCAGGCAAAGAAGUACUUCUCAAGUCCAUCAUUACAGCUAUCCCUGCAUAUAGUAUGUCCUGCUUCUCACUGCCUUCGAAAAUCACUAACCAGAUUGAAAGAGCUAUGAUAAGUUUUUGGUGGUCUAGCUCUAAAGAAAAACAUAAGAUUCCCUGGAUUGCAUAGAGGACAAUUACUAAUUUAAAGAGAGAUGGAGGGCUGGCCAUAAGGGACCUCAAAGAUUUCAACAUUGCAUUAUUAGCAAAACAGAGUUGGAGACUACUUCACCAACCAACUUCACUGAUGGCAAGGGUAUUUAAAGCCAAGUAUUAUCCUAAGCAUUCCCUCUUUGAAGCAAAAACAAAAACCCAAGAUAGCUAUGCUUGGAAGAGUAUCACUCAAGGUACACACCUUUUAUCUUAUGGUCUCAAAUAUUUAGUAGGGAAUGGCAAAGCAAUUAAUGUUUGGAAGGAUCCAUGGUUGCCUUUAAAACCUCCCAGACCAGCUCGAGGCCCUGGACAACAUAUAUACCCAAAUUUGACAGUAGCUGAUCUGCUACAACAGGGUACCUGGAAUCAAGAUUUGAUUGAACAGCUUAUUGACCAUGAAGAUAUCAAGUGUAUCAUAAAUCUGAGGCCUUCGGUUACUGGUGCAAAUGAUAUACUUCAUUGGAUAUAUACUCAAGAUGGUCGAUACACAGUUAAAUCAGGAUACCAGCUCUGGCGUAAACUAUCUGCAGAGACCUCAAGCCGUUUCUCUCUUACAAAUCAGGUUUCCAUCUCAAAAUCUUUUCUCCACCAUAUGGAAGCUCAAUGCCCCUUAGAAAAUUAAGCAUUUUUGGUGGAGAUGUCUUCAUAAUGCCAUACCUACUGCAGAUAAUUUGAGGAAAAGGAGGAUGACUGCUGACAAUAUAUGCCAGAGAUGUGGAGAUUUUGAUGAGACAGUCAAUCAUCUUCUAUUCCAAUGUAGAGUCAUCAGAGAGAUCUGGGAGCAUGUCCUAAACCAAACAGCCCCAGGUACUUUCCUUAUCCAUGAUUCUUUUAGUCAAAAUCUGGAAUCACUACAGAGUUUGAGCAAAAACCAAGGAGAGGAUGUAAGUUUAUUCCCUUUCAUUGGUUGGCGUAUCUGGAAAAUGAAGAAUGAUUUAUAUUUCAACAAUAAGCAAUGGGCUAUUCGCCUAUUCCAGAUAUUAUUAAUAAAGCUCUGUUGGAUUACCAGCAAUGGAAAGAAAGCCUCACAGUUAAUAAGGACACAUCAGCAGGAGGUCAAACCAGAGAUAGAAACAUUCCUCAGGAUAUAUUACAUGCUUCCAGAGUCCUCAAAGAUCUUAUUCAUAAAGAGCAAAAUUAUGUAUGUUUUGUAGAUGGCUCUUGGAUCUCUCCAACAGAUGGAGCAGGCAUAGGAUGGGUCCUAUAUAAUCAAAAUGCGCAGUUUGUACUCCGAGGAAUGGCUGCUAUCAAUCCCAUGAAUACAGCGCUGGAAACUGAAGCAGAGGCGCUAAGGCUUGCAAUGAUUCAUGUAAACAGAAUGGGGUAUAAAAACGUUACGUUCUGUGGAGAUGCACUUAAUCUCUUCUCACGACUUCAGCAAGCCAAGCUAGGCCUCUCGCCAACAGCAAGAACACUCAGCUCUUUUAGCUCAUGUAAUAGAUAUAAAAACGCUUGCUGUGAUUGUAUAAGUUUUUUCAAAGUUCCUCGCGAGCUUAAUUGUGUGACUGAUAGGUUAGCUAAAGAUGCCAGAAUUAGAAAAUUAAACUUUGUAAUAUCAUGGAAUGAUGUAACUUCAGUUUCAAUAUGAUGAAAGUUAAGUUGACGACAAAAAAAAAAAAAAAAAAAAACAAUACAUUUAUUACAUUUAACCAAUAUAUAUUAGUUGCUUGAAGUCAACUAUGCAAUCUCAAAGAUAUGAUUAUCAUGUAACAAACGCAUAACCUUAGAAUUUGCAACUCACAAAAUAAAACAUGAGGUCAACUAUAAGCAAUCUCAAACAUAUGAUCAUCAUGCAACAAACGCAUAAACUUUAUCUACAACUAGAGCACACAAUAUAUAAAUAUUACCAAGAGUCUAUUUAUUCCUCGGAUAAGAGGUGUUCGUCGAUCUCUCUGGUCAUCUCGGCGAAGAAAGGGAGGAGAUUCUCUGGAUGAGCCACGUUCUCAUCAAUCUUCUCGUAUUCAAGGUGCCAUUUCACAACACUUCCAACUCCUCCUUCCUUCGGGGUCACCUGAAUCGUGAUCAAGAAACUCUUGUACUCGGCCAUAACAUCUCCUUCUAUGACCCUAAACUUUAUCAGUUUCUUCUCUGGCUCUACUAAUUCAAUCCUCUCUUUUGCCACCUUUGCUUGCCCCUCUACACCCAAAACAUUCACCUAUCAAAUCUUUUUUUUUUUAAUCAAAUCUUAUAGUCACAAAAUAUUUAGGAUAUCUUAGAGAUUACCAUGAACGUAGUUCCAAAAGACGAUGCUGCCUACGGUACCCCAUUCCCCAUCGUGGAGAUCACAUGAUUGGACGUUGCGAGGAGUGGCUUUAGCCACAUGGUGUGGUCUUCCUGCAUAGAUGUGGUAGAAUGUUGCCGCGGGAGCUUUGAUCUCAACUUCUACCUCAAGCUCUCCUAAUAGAGAAGGAUUGGGCAUCGCCUCCACCGUGUCUGCCAUAUUUAUUCACCGACUGUUUUUCUCUCCUUUUUAGCAAUAUAGGCUCCACAAAAGGUUUUGGAUAUGAAACUUGAUCACUUUAAUCAUAUAGGCUCCACAAGUGGUUAUAUGAUAGAUAAUAUAUAUUUUUGUUGCAUAGAUUAUAGUUUCAGGGUCCAGCGAAAUUUCAGAAAUGAUCAAAGCAGAUCCAUAUAUAAAAUUUAUUAAUAACUCCAGCGGACUGUUCAACCAUAUGUGACAUGAUCUUUAAGAUUUUAAUACCUUUAUAAUACCUACUCCAGCGAAUUUAUAAUAUUUUAGAAAAUUUUCAAAGUUGUAUCCCAAAAGAAUCAGUCUUUGCUAGAAUAAUAAAAACGAGUGUGGCGAAAACGUCAAAAGAAAAGACCAAAAAAAAAAAACUUUUGCCAUGUUUAUUAUUCUUUUAGAAAUUUGUCUUAAGUUGUCACGCAAAGAAAUAAUAUUUGCUUGAAUGGUACAGCUGAUGAAAACGUCAGAAAACAAUAUGGAAAGAUACUAAAUUAAUCCAAAUUAUGAGUUUAAUUACUAGAUUGUCUCAAAAAAAAUUUGGGCUAAUUGGGUUAUUUUCAUGUUUCAAAUAAUCUUGUCUCAUGUGUAGAAAAAAAAAAACAAAUACAAAAAUGUCUUUCAAAAUUAAUUCCAGCAAUUUUACAAAAGCUACUGUCUAGUUGUGAUAGAUUAAUUAAUAUACUGCAGAUUUAUGUGUUCGUGACAUAUUUCUUUUGACAGACUUAUUUGGUUGAACAGAUUUUUUAAAAUAUGGUUAUGACAGACUAAAAACAAUUGUAGCAGAUUUAUUUUUUGUUGACAGAUUUUGAUAUUUUUUAUUUUUGUCAACAACUUUAUUAGAUUAGAGAUAUUUUUUUUUAUUCAACCACAGACUUUCAAAAUUUGUGACAGGCUUAUUGUAAUGUGUGGUUGAUUUAUUUUGUAUGAAACGACAUAUUUAUAAUUUUCUGAAAAAUCUGUCAUGUUGUAACAGAUUUGUUGACUAAAAAUUAAUAACUAGAAUGACGUCUAAUGAUAGCAGAUUUGUUAUAUGUAAUGAUAUCGUGUAACAGCUGUCAGCAAAUUUCUUUUAAAUAUAAUUUUUUUAUGUAAUGACAGAGUAACAAAUUAAGUUAUAUAACCACAUAUCUGUCUUUUGAUGACAGAUUUGCUAAAAGACAAACAAAAUUGUUGGAAUGACCUUUAUAAUGUUUUGUGUUACGACAGAUUUGAAAUUUUGAAUUCCUAUGAUGAAAGUUUUUUUUUUUUUUUUUUUCUGGCUGCUUUCUAUAAGUAGAAUAUGACUUAGAAUGAUGACAUUUUUUUUUUCUUUUCAUGACUGACUUGUUUAAAUCAGUUACCAUAUUUGACAUUAAAAUCAUUAUAUGUCAACAUAACAAUUUUAGUGUUUUUAUUCAAAAUAACGUGACCUAUUUUUUUUCUUUCUCUAUUGAAGCAACGUGAGCCCUGUUUUUGUAUGAUGUCAGUUUUAUUGAUGAAAAUAUAAUUUUAAUAUGCACAAUAGGUAAUGACAGAAGGCUAUAAGUUUGUUUUUUUUUAUUUUUUUUUUGCGGAUUAGGUUAAUAUUUUUUCCGCUUUGUAUUUUGUUUAUUUUUUUUGUAUUUUUUUCGUUUUGUAUUUUUUUUCGUUUAAUAGUUUUUCAUUUUGUAUUUUUAUUUUUUGUAUAUAUAUAUAUAUAUAUAUAUAUUUGGUUUUAUAUUUUUUUUGUUAUUUUAUCAUUUUGUAUUUUUUUUUCAUUUAAUAUUUUUUUUGUUAUUUAUUUUUUUCUUCUAAUUUUCUAUUUAAUUUAAUUAUUAUAGAUUAAUUAUUUUAUUUUAAUAGAAUUCAAAAUAAGAUGGGUAUUUGGUUUUUUAACAUAAAAAUUAUGUUCUUCUAGUAAACCACAUUAUUUGGGUGUUAAUUUAGUUAUUUUUCUCUAAAUUUGGGUCAAACUAGGUAAAUUUCAGAAACAAUAUUGAUAUUUUUCUUUACCAUUGUCAUUGUGUGAAGUGCCAUUGGUUAGAAAAAAAUUGAUUGAACAAAGUAAUUUUUCAAAUUUUCAUUCAUUCUAAAAAGUUUAACAAACUUAAAAGAAAUAUUUCCUACAAUAUUUUGGCAAGAGAAUGAAGGGAAUCAAAAAUUUUAUUCAUUCUAAAAAACAUCUAAAACAAACAUAAAAACAAAUAUUUUAGUUGACAAAAAAAUGUAUUUCAGAUUUACUACAUUUCAACUAUAUAAAAAAUUAUAAUAAUAAUUUAUUUAAUACUUUAUUUAGAAGUAACUUUUUUUUUGUAGGUACAUAUGUACUUAAUAUUCGAGGCCCAAAUUAAAUGCCACUUCUCCGGAGUUAAUCAAAUGUGGUAGUCAUCACAUUUAUGAUAUUGAUAAAACUUGUUGAUAACCUUAAAUGUCACAUUUAUACUCCCUCUCUUUCAUAAAAAAUGUCAACACAUUUAACAAAAAUUAUGAAAAUCUUAAAUUAUACAUGUGUACCUAUUUACUAAGUGAUUAAUGAUUGAAAUUCAAUGAAAAGUAGCUUUGGGUUAAGGGUAAAUCAGAAAAUUUAGUAAAAAAAUUACUAGAAUGACAUUCUUUGUGAAACAAAAAAAUAAAAAUCUAGAAUGACAUUCUUUCUGACACAGAGGGAGAUUGUUAGCUACAAGACUUUGUUUGACCGGAAGUUAACUCUAUUUUAUUUGGACGAUCUAACCUGAACUUAAUUCUUUCUCAUGAAGAGGUGUUAGAUCGGGGAAACGAGCAUAUACAUUCAGGACUUCUUAUCCCUUUUUACCACUCUCUGCUGAUCCUGAAUGGCCACUCACUUUCAGUGGUUCCUACCCUUAAAACCAUAUCCUCUUUUCAGACCUCACGCAUUCUCUUUUUCUUUUUCUCAUUUUAGCAGUUAUGUGCAAAAACAUCGGAGAGAAAGGAACGACACGGUUUCCCGCCACGAAGACGGAGAUCCAGAAUCUACAGAGAGGAUGCGAUGAUUUGGUACAUAGCUUAUUCUUCCUUGGGAUCCGAUUUCAAAAGGUACUUAUUUCGUGCUUAUAAGACUCGUGUAUAUAAUAAGUACCGCUUCUCCUUUCAAAAAAAAAAAAUGGAAGCGGUUACAAAAAAAAAGUCUUAUAAGUACAGAGAGAUCCCAAGGAAAGACAUGGAUCACUUAGAGGAGAGAUGGAAUCAUUACAGAAAAGCCUAAGUCUGGGGGAAUCGAAAAGACGAAAAGAAGUAAGGAGAUGAGGUGUUCAAGAAGAAGUAGUUGGAAACUGUGGACCUCAACAGAUCCGUUCUCUCUUGCGGUUUUGCGACAUAUCCUGCAUUCUCGAGACUUACGGGAAUCCUAAACACUUAAACUCCACCACUAAACACCAAAAAGCCCCUUUCUUACAAGUGCCGUCUACCCCGAAUGACAUCUUCUAAUGAGAAAGGCUCACGCCACUUAUUAAUGAAUGUAGAGAGUUAACUAAUGUGAUUUCAGAGUUCUCUUACAGGUUCGAGAUGGAAGGAUAAGGAUGGUGAAAGUUUUGAGUCGUCUAUAGUGAGUAUAUUCUAACGUGUUGUCCCUAUCUUUAUGCGUCCGAAGGAUAUCUUUUAGUACAUGGUCUCUGAUACUAAGAGAAUUCCCAAGGUUUUUCAAACCUCUCGCUUUCUUGUUUGCUUGAGGACAAGCAAAGUCUAAAUCUAGGGGAGUUGAUAACAUCGUAUUUUAGCCCACUUUUACUAUGUUUUAUUUAGGUUUUCCAUGGAGAAAACAUGAGAUAUUGGAGAUUUUAAGGAUGAUUUCAAGUAUUUAUGCUUCAAGAAUGAAUAAUGUGUUUUCAAGCAAAAAGGAGUAAAAGACGAUCAAAUCCCGUUUCAAGACUGUUUCUAUGCCUCAGAAGUAUGGCGUCCGUUCGAGGUCUUCCCGAUUACCAAAUCAAGAGAUCUCGGUGGCUAUGGAAAGCUAGGAGAGUCUAACGUGUUGACUGUUCUAAGUUAAUACCUAGAACAGUCAAUACCUACAACCUACCUCUGCUAAUUAAGGUCACCUCAAAAAACCAUAGUCCAAUAAUCAAAACCAGUUAUUUUGCAUGGAUUAGGCUUAUCGAUGUUUAAGCGACCAAAUGUUAGGAAACGAUAGCAUGUGUAGUGUGGAGCAUUUACUAAAACAAUAUUAACAUACUCUUUGAAUGCUUGUAUGUGCUCCAAUGUUAGGCCUUCUCUCUUAUUCCAUAAGCUCUUCAUAUCUUUCCAACGGAAUCGAUAUUCUCCAAAAUGGAUUAUCCUAAAUCUUCUACUUCUUAUGAUGACCAAAGUGCAUCUUUUCGAUAUAAAAAUCUAACUUAGAACAUAAAUUUUGAGUCUAAAACUUAUAUAGGGGAAUUCGUACUAAAAAAAGGAAUAUACUAGAUGUUAGUCAAUUUUAUAGUCUAGUAUAUAUUCAAUUCAAUGCCAACUACUAGUUCAAUUACAAAUUUUUUGAUGAAAUGUUAAAUUGAUUGAGAAAAUAAAUAUGUACAAAAGAGUUUUGAAGUAGCUAACAGACAACGUAAACAGAGCACAAAUACUUGUGGAGAACUUUAGCUAGAACGUCGGGACCCGAACCAAGCUUGGAACAGGUUGCGAAGUUCAACAACAAUUUCAAAUACAAAAAAUAUUUACGUGCUAUUAGAUGAUGGAUAUGAAAGAAACGUAGAAGAAUAAUUUGUACAAAGCAACUUUUUUUUUUUUUUUUUUUUUUUUUUUUGUACAAAGCAACUUCAUAGGUGAUAGGUAUGAAGAGCAUGAUGUUGAACAUAUUUACGCUCUAAAUGACAAACAUAGAGGAGGAGAUAUUGACUGAUAGGUCCCAGUUAAGUGUUGAUCAAGACAAUAAAAAUAAAAAAAAUGAACACAAGUAACUUAAGACAAGUUUCCCUCCAUACCAAGUUACACAAACGUAAACAAAAACAGACAUAAUCAAACAAUAACUAACACCUAAAUAAUAGGAAUUAAACACUUUUAGCCCAUAAUCCCACUAAAUUACAAACAACACACGUUGAGGUAUUCAUGGCCUUUGAACCUAUCAUUGACUCUAAUGAAGAGCAUAUAUUGCCAUUGAUAUCAAAUUUGAAUCUGAUAAUGAGCAGGUUGUUAACAUGGAUGUGCUUGUAUAAGAAAAUGUUUAUACUUAGUACAUAUUUAUAUGCUUUAAUUUACAUUUUAAGGUUUUUGAACUUAUAUUUUUAUUCGAAAUUGUUAAGGCUUGAAUUCUUAAUUUUUUUUUCUCAGAAGAAAAACAUUACAAGAUUUCUACUUAGACAGGUGAACUCCAUAAAUUUUUAUCUAGAAAGAAAGCAUUUUCACGAGGUAUAUUUUCCAUUUUUUAAAAAAUUUUGUUUUAAAUUUCAAUUUUACAAAAAAAAAAAAAAAAACAGGUAAAUAAUUAAUUGAUGCCUAGAUGCCUUGUAAAAUCUUUAUUUUUAUAUAGAUGUUAGGUCUUUUGCGAAUGCUCAUUCACUAUUUAGAGAUUUUUUGAACAUCGAAAUGACAUGUACCCUAUUAAUAACAUGGGGCUUUGUUAACUCCAUAAGAAAGGUUUUUAAGAACACAACAUGUUUAUCAUGUCUUUAUUCACAAUCACAAGACGUCGUGUUAUAUAGUCAUCGAAAAGAAAAAUAGUUUUCUUAACCGUUGAUAGUCAGAAGAAUCGACAACACGAAGAUUAUAUUGAAUUGAGUGAAUGUAUGUUUAACUACCAAAUCUUCUUAAAUCCAUUAAGAAUUUUAUUAUUCCCUCUGUUUCACAAAACAUGUCAUUCUACAAUUUUUCACACAAGAUAAGAAAAUGUGAAAAUUUCUUUUAGAGGAAUUCCCGAAAAUAGCACUAAAACAAGUUUUAUGGACAAUUAUAGCACACAGUCCAUAAACCUCCAAAAAUAGCAUUAGUUGAUUAACUAUUAAACUUUUGUUCUAAAAUUAUUAUCACUAAUUUAUUUUUUUCCAAUAAUACCACAAUUUUUGUAUAAAAACUAUUCAACAAAAAUAAAUUUAAAAUAUUAUAUUUGUGUUAUUUAUUUCCAAUUUAGGGCUUAUAUUUCCACCAUUUAAAAGAGAUAUUGAUUCAUUUUAAUAUUAAAUUUGUGUUAUUAUGUUUGGAUUCAUUAGCUCCAAUUUAGGGUAUAUAUUUUAACCAUUUAAAUUUGUGCUAAUUUUGGAAAAACAUCUUUUUCAGGGGUUAAUUCAAUUGCUUUUUCUUUUAUGCUCUUUGAUAAUACACUAUAACAGUUUCUCUCUUUAAUUAAUAAACUGAAAUAAUAUGAAUAAAAAAAAAUUUAGUAUUAAAAACUGCAUUGAAAACACAAAACGAUAUUUUUUGUAAAACAAAAAAAAAGCUUAAAACGAAAAUUCUUUGUGAAACGGAGAAAGUAUAUAAGAAUCAAAGAUCAUAAAAUCACAAAUAAAGCUUCCUGUUUAUAAGACCGUUAGUGAGUUCCUAGAGUUAGUUAGAAGCUCUGCAUCAAAACAGAGCUAUAAGCUCUCUACUUCUCUCUCUUUUGUAACUCUCCGAAAACACAAUGAUAGUGAAUUGGUAAGGCCAAGCCUUGCUGAAACGUAACUUAGAUCGAUUUGAUCAUAUGGAACUCAUAAACGUGUUCGUAUCUCAUUUUCAAUUCAUUUACAAAUAGUAGCCAUAAGAGGUGUAAGAUUUGACGGUUGAUUGUGAAGGUCUAGUGUUCGGAUUAUCGGCUCCAAAUCGCAACAAUAUGAUCGGGAUCUUCUCUACUAAAUAUAGACCGAGGAUUGUAUCGUGAAAAUAGUUAAUGAACAACUUAUAAUUGAUCAUCAUGGAAAAUAUGUAACUCUUAUUGAUUUUACAAUGACCUACAAUAAUCAAACUGUAAUAUUGGUACCAACAUCUCUUAUUGUAUCCUACGUUACUAUUAUUCGACUGGCAAAUUCUCAGCUUCAUAUCUGACUGACUCGAACAAUUCAGUCGAUAAAUAACGUUCUCCUCCACUGGGAAAAAUAACCUACAAACCAUACGAUAAUCGGUAUAUUCGAUAAUCCGGUUUCAAUUUCGGUUAAGUAAAAGCUUAUAUAUGUUCAUUCUAAGUUAGAGACAAAGCUUACCACAAUGAGUUUCCCUGCGUUUUCUGGCCGCUUUGCAACCUUUAACGCAGCCGCUGCUGAGGCUCCAGAGGAUAUUCCAACCUGCCAGAUGAAUCAUCCCAUUUAUCAAAAACUCCGGUUUUUAAAUUCUUUGAGAGCUUUAAAGAAUGUUAGAACCAUUUGUACCAAUAAUCCUUCUUUGAGAGCAAGAAGCUUGGCUGUUUCAAUAGCUUCCUCACCUGUCACCUAAAAUCAAAAUAUUGCAUAUCUCAGAAUAUUGUUUCACGAUUGCGAUGUCGAUGAUCUUAACUACUUACUUGAAUGAUUUCAUCAACAAUGCUUAAGUCCAAAUUGGUUGGAAUUUCACCAGAGCCAAUUCCUUGGAUCAAAUGUGGACCUACAAAUAUGGAAUCAUCAAUUAUAAAUUAGAAAUAAUCUAGUACUCUAAAAUAAUUAUGUUUAUUUCCUCACCUGGUUCUCCUCCGCUGAGUACCGCACUUUCGGCAGGUUCCACCACACAAACCUAUUGAUGAAGAUUGUAAAGAAAUUAUGUUAAAAAAAAUAUCCGAUUUCUUAUGUUUGUUUUCAAGAAUUAGUUAAGUUUCUGAACCUUAAUGUCUUUGUUCUUUUCUUUAAGGAACUUCCCUGUUCCAGUAACCGUUCCACCAGUUCCAACACCGGCGACCAAGAUAUCUACUUUCCCUGCUGAAUCUCUCCAAAUCUCCGGACCCGUGGUUCUGUAAUGAAUCUGCAAGAAACAAAUCACAAGAGUGAGAGAGAAACUCAAAGAAUAUAGAAUUGUGAUGGAAGCAUGAUACUAUAUAACCUCGGGGUUUUCAGGAUUUAUAAACUGGUGUGGUAUGUAACCACCAGGAGUUUUGCUUAAUAUCUCUUUAGCUUUCUCCAACUGUCCUUUAAUGCCUAUGCUCAUGUCUGUGAGAUGAACCUCUGCACCUAAUGCUCUCAGAAUGAUUCUCCUCUCUAAGCUCAUCGUUGCAGGCAUCAAAAGGAUCACUUUAUAACCUCUUGAAGCCCCGAUGCUGGCUAAACCAAUCCCGGUGUUACCACCCGUUGCCUCAAUCAAUGUACUCUAAAACAAAAAAAAAACAAAAAAUUUAUUCCAUAUAAGGAUUCUAAUGGACUAUGGAGAGAUUAUAUAGGUUUUUGACCAGGGUGUGCAACCUAGUGAUUGCCACCGUGUCAUAACUCGAAGAGUGCGUGUGUAAGUUGUAAACGAUAAAAGAAAAAGAAAACACUAGGCUUCAAGCCUCGGUCAGUGAUUUUGAAACUGUUGUAUAUUAACCUUUCCGGGAGUAAUCAAUCCUUUGUCUUCUGCAUCUUUGAUCAUACUAUACGCGAUUCUGUCUUUGAUGCUAGAGCAAGGCUCCAUCAUCUCAAGCUUGGCAGCAAUACGGGCCACGCAACCAUCAACAAUUUUAUUUAGAUACACCAUUGGUGUGUUACCAAUCAACUGCGCAAAAUGCACAACCAUAUAUAAGUAACAACCCAAGCAAAGGAUUUCAAACAUGUUUUUUAAUCCAAGAGAGCAAAUUAGUAUGGAAGAGAUUAGAGAUUUUUACUUCAGUGACAUCGUUCUUGAUCAAAGAAAUUCUGUCUUCCAUGUUUGUCUGUCUUUGAAGCUCCUUCAUAUUUAAUAUACUGGUACAAGAAAAAAACAAAAAUUGAUACCAAAAUCAGAAAAUGGUAGUAAGAAACAAAUCAAAAGUAGGACGAACAAGGCAGAACUACAUUAUCUUUUCUUAUGGAUGAAUGGAGAAACAAGAAAGAACCAAAAAAACGUAGUACCUAUAGAGUUUUAAUCAAUGAAGAAGAGACAAAAGACCGCUAAAUCUAAAACCCUACCAUGCUAUAUAUAUAGACAUAGACAUAUAGAUAUUGUAUAUAGAUUAGUAUUGAGUGGUUGUACAAUUGAAUAAUAUUUAUCUAAAUGGUUAUAUUUUUUGGGAUGAAAAAAAACAAAACACUCUCAAACAAACCAAAUCUUGUUGUAAGAUAUUCAUUAAUUAAAACUUUUGACCUCACUAACAAAGACGACAACAUUGCAUAUUGUGGUUAAACAUUUUCUAGUAAUAUAUAGUACAAACAAACAAACGUAAUGUGUAUCUAAAAGUUACAAUAAACAAAAUCAAUGAGAUUAUGGAGUUUAACACAAACCACUAAACAACAAGUUCUGGUCGUAGUUUAUAAUUUAGAAUUAAGGUUUAGGGUUUACAUGAUGUAUCGUUAUUCGAUUUUUCAUUCAAGAAUCAAUUAUGAGUUUACCAUUUUUUUGGAGUGGUAUUUGUGGAUUUGCCAUUUUGGCAUUUUCUCUAAAAUCUUAUGAAUUUGUCCUUUUUCAGACUAUAAAAAUACGAUUUAACAUGCGCUUUAUCCGUUAUGUUUGGGUUUAGUCAGUUUCAUUUGAAUUUAGGGAACGUAGUUUAGCAAAAAAGAAUCGUCAAUUUGAACUUUUCAAAUGUUCAAAAAUGACAAAUCCAUAAAAUUUUAGAAAAAGUGGCAAAAUCCAUAAAUGUUAGUCGAAAAGAUGGCAAAAUCUGUAAUAAUCCUUUUUUAAAAUAGAGGCCAUGAUUUCUAUGGUAUAGUGGAGGCGUUUGUGAUGGCAAUAGCAGCCGUGGUAGGGACAAAGGCGAUGGUUGCGACCACCGUGGAUGUGGUUGUGGCGAUGAUUUUUUUUCUUAUCGUGAACUUUAAAUGUAUAAUUAUGUUUGUUUGUAUGGCUACAAUGUAUUAGCACUUGUUUGAUAAAAGUAAAAUGUACUAACACUUGGUAUUUGGUAAGGUUUUCGAAUUCAUUUAGCUUUAGUUUCAGAAGACAUUAACUCUAAAAUGCAGUUCAAUUUUGUACCAAGUACUAUAUUCUUAACUCUAAAAAUAUUAUUUCGAAGACGAAUUAUUUUUUUUUAUUGAUAGCUCUGACGGGUUGUUUUUUUGUUUUUGUUUUGUUAAAUAUAAAAUAUGAUGGCUUUGAUUGGUAACCACUUUACAAAGCGGUACAAAGCUUUACAAAGUAUACAGUUUUGACAGUUACCAAUCACAAAAGUUUUACCAAAAGCGUUACUAAAAGUUUUACUCUCAGCUUUUUUGUACAGUUUUUUCGUACAGCUCUUUCGUACAGCUUUGCACUAUUCCGGAAAAGCUAACCGCUCCAGCUAACAGCUAACAGCUUUUGGUUACCAAUCGGACCCGAUAAUAUAAGAUUUAAAGAGUCAUAUGUAUGUUAAAAAAUAUUUCGAGUAACAAUAUUCAAAACUCCAAUUCUUUGGUAUUAUAUAAUUGGGGGAUCUCAUAUCAAAAUCUAAACUCGUCCCCAUAACUUUCUAAAACCCGGGUAUUCUUAUCAUUUAAAGCAUCCACAUUGGAAAAAUCAAUAGUCCAUGUUUCAACUCUGAUGAACCAAUCAACUGGUGAACUGGACCACCAUAAAGUGGUUGAUCUAGACUCUAUGAGUGUUGAAAAAUGGAUUUUCUCGAAAGUGGUGUUUGAUAGAGGAAAAGAAGGUCGGUUGAAGAUGGAUUGACAUGUGGACCUGUGGUAGACACACGAUGUAUAAUUGUGUGAAGUAUGAAGAAAGUAUUGUGCCCCUUGCGUGAUAUGAAUAUAACAUCUGCUAAGGCUAGGCUGCUAUGGAAUUGUGAAGUAUUAAAGAAAAGUUUAUGCCCUUGCUAGUUUGAAAAUAAUAACCACGGAUAGGCUUGUAUAGAGACAAAAUCUAAAAGGCGAUGCUUAAAAGGACAACUUAAAUUCUAAGGCUAUGCUUCAAUGGAGACAAAGUCACAAAGGUGUUAGACGGAUUUUAACAAUCUUUCAUCCAACCGCCUUUAUGUUCCAAUCCAUGCUUUUAAUUAUUUAUUUUGGCGUUUUAAGAAAUAAAAUAAAAAUAAAAGACAAGAAAAAUAUCCAAAGGCGUUUUCAAACAUUUUGAAGAUAAUAACAUCAAACACUAUCCUUUUAAAAGCUUAACCCAAGGUGCGCAUAUCCUUUUUCAUGCUUUAGGAGAUAUGCUACUAAAUACAAACGUAAAUCGUUUUUCUGGUUGCCCAAAUCGUGUCAUUUGCACAAACAUAUACGGUCAUUUAAAGUACAUGGCCAUAUCUAUGUAUGUGCAAGGUGUGCUUUUAAUUUGCAUUGGGCCAGCAAUAAGCUAAGAACAAAAAUCUUACACAUAUAUAUACCUUUUACUUGAUCAUAUAUGGGUGGUUUACUUAACUAGCAUCUAAUCUAUACUAUAUAAAAGUCGAGGCUAUAAGCUCCUAAAGGCGUCCACAUAGGAUUUUAAACGACCAAUCGCGGUUAGACAUCUCGCUGAUUAACAUAUUUUGAUUAUGAUAAUUUUCUAUAUUAAAGUUUUGUCUAAAAAAAAAAGAAAAACAGUAAGAGAAAUAUUUGAAAAUAUAGAAAUAUUUCUAAUUAUAUUAAUCUUGUGUUAUUUGAAAAUAUAGAAAUAUUUCUAAUUAUAAUCAAAAUGUAAAGUUUAAAUUUUUAUAGAAAUAUUUCUAAUUAUAAUCAAAAUGUCAAGUUUAAAUUUUUAAAGAUAAUUAAAUUUAUAAAGAUAUAUAUGUAAAGAAUAGAAAUGUAAACUUUUGAAAAACAACAUAUGGAAAUAAGAAAAGCAAUAUAUACAAGAAAACAAACGUAAAUUUUUGAAAAACAAUAUAUGAAAUACGUUAAACUUAUAUUCUUAUUUUGUUAAUCUUCUAAUUUUCCAACAAAAAAUAGAAUAUUAACAAACAAAAAACAUAUUCGAUUAACUCUAGAUCUUUUCAAUAUAAAUAAUAACCGGAGGCAUCUGAUUUGAUUAUAAUUUUUAAGCUAUAAAUUUCAAGCUGUUAGUAACAAUUAGGGUUGAUUACUACUUUUAAUGGCGCUUCUUUUUAUAUUUUUCAUCGCUUUUGCCACUACUGGCACUUCUCUCUCUUUGUCGGGCUGUUUCUGUUUUAUAUUUCCGAUAAACCCUAAAACAUGUGUUUGUGUAUGAUGUUAUAUAUGAUUUGAUGUUGUUUGCGUAAAAGUUUUGGGUUUCAAGAACAAGAAGGAUCGAUGACAAGCAUCAUUGGUCGAUGUUUGUACUCUUUCAUAUUGGUUAUGAAUCGUAAGACCUUGAUUUGAUUAUUUGAGUUAAUUUUUUGCUUUUACAGAAGAAGGAUCAACAACAAGCACAUAUGUUUUAUUAGUUAUAUAUGGGAUCAUGUUCAUGUUGCUUCCUCCGCAAGUAAUUUACAAUUUUAUAGCAUUAAGGAUUUUGGUUUGAAAAGUUUCAAAACGUGUGGAUCUUAAAUCGAGUAUAUAUAUGUGUGAAAGUAUCAAUAAUUUAGUACAUGUGGUGGCUAUGCUGGUCUUGAAUAACACAAAUGUUAUGAGAAAAUAGGCAAUUAUUCUGGUCUUGGAGGUUACAGGAGGUUCGCUGGGAAACAAGUUGUGUUACUCUAAGACAAAUUCUUUUGAAAGCUUAUUUAGUGGUUCUAACGAAUUCAGCAUCAAUUGCUUGUGCCAAAAAAGUGCCACAUGCUAAUAAAUCUAAGGAAGUGGUGGUGGUGGUGGAAGUUGAGGAACAUACAUGUAAGGCCAUGCAAGAAAUCUCUCUUGGAAAAGAUGUCUAGGCCAAUAUAGGAAAAAUUGUUUUACGUUAAAAUGUGGAUACAACUAUGGCUAAUAAGGUAACUUCUUAUGUGAUUCUGUUUUUUUUUUUUUAACUUAGGUUUUAUAUACUUCAGUUGGAUGAUAUCUAACCAAGCAAAAAGGUAUAAAGACUUGUGUUGAAAUUGUAGAAAAAGUUGUUAUUAUUGGAGUACCAAUUUCAAUCAAAAAAGGGAAUUGAAGAGACGUAAGAAAGGUAAUACAUUUAAUUGAUAAGAGUUUUCUUGCAUUAUAAAUAAUUGACGUCAUAAUCUAGGUAGCAAAGAGGGUUGUUUUCCAUGUAAAAAAUGAAGGAGAAAGAGAGAAACGCGGAUAGAUUGGCGACCAGCGAGAGAGAGAGAGAGAGAGAGAUAGAUAGAGAGAAAACCAUUGUCGUGAGAAGAUGUUCGAUUGUGAUACCAUAAGAUAAACUUGGAUUAUCAUUCAUGGAAAAGAAAAGUGAGAAAACAGUUAUAACAUGACCUUUUUAUUGUAACGUUUAGUUCGUAUGUAGCUAAAACUUGAUGGUGAGGUUUCUGGUAUUACUGUCUUGAGGUUUAAUAGUAGGAUAUAGAUUUAAACGGAUUUUUAGAAGAAAGCUUCUUCAACUUGUUCGAGAAGUUUUCUUCUAAUGUUUCAGAUCUAACAAGCAAAGUGGAGACAUGAAUAUCCAAACGUACUCGAUAUAAUCUGAAAUUUGGUAAGAGUAUUCUGGAGACGUGGAACGAACUUUUGGUAGAUAGGCGUCAAAUUUCGAGUUCAGAAGGUCAAAUGAACGACGUUGUUUCGGGUAGUUAAUUCAUAGGCUUAUGGAGCUAUGUUUGGUUAAUGUUAGUAAGUUUAUAUUUCUUGCUUUAUUUUUUACCACAUAAUAAUAAAUGUUUUACAUAGAAGAAGAUAGAGAGGAUGAGGAAGAAAGUGAGGAAGAGGAAGAGGAAGAGUAUAACGAAGAAGCGGAAAGUAACGGUGACGACGACCAUGAAAAAUUGACAAUGUAGAUGACGAGAAUGAAUAUGAAGAGUAAGAAACGAUGAAUGUGAAGAGAAAACGAAGACAUAGGUGUUGGCGGCCAAUUGAAUAUGAGAAAAUAAGAUUGAUUCAUGAUUCUUUUGAUAAGAUUUUAUUCUUAAACACUAUUGAUUUUUAUAAUUGUGCAUUUGAACUGAAAAUUUUGCUUUAAUAGUAAUUUAAAAAUUAUCAUCAAUCAUAUAUAAUUUGCUUUAAUAGUAUAGUCUAUACUAUAUAAAAGUCGAGGCUAUAAGUUUUUGAGAACGUCCACCUAGGAUUUAAAACAUCCAAUCGCGAUUAGCCACCUCAAUAACUAACAUUUUAGAUAUCUCACUAAUUAACAUUUUUCUAAAUUUUAAUAAUUUUCUAUAUCAAGAUAUUUAUUAAAAAAAAAAAAAAAAAAAAAAAACAAGAUAUAUGGAAAUAAAAUAAAUGUAAAAAUUUUAAAUUAACAUAUAGAAAUAAGAAAUAUAAUAUAUGUCGUUUCAAAUUGAUUAACUUUUUGCCUUUUAACGAUAAUAACUGAAAUUAAUGUUGAUUCUAUUAUAAAUGUGAUGAUUAUCCAUCACUUGAUCUUAUCUCUUGAGAGUUACUUAGUCCCCAAGUUGCUUUGUUGCCAAACAAUUGACACUUAUCCAUUCCCAAGCUUUCACUAUAUAUAUGCUCAUUUACCACAUUGUAUGAGAGAUAAGAUGUAGAGAGAAGUUAAUAAAAAAAGGAGAAGCGAGAGAGAAUAAAUAAAAGCUUUAGUUAUUACCUUACGUUUCUAUUUCUCUCGUUAUAUAAUAAUAAUAUUUUUGUGUGCGUUAUGAUUUUAUAACACGUUAUCAGCACGAUGUCUUUACCGCUAGAGCGUUUACGAGGUAAGUUAUAAUUUCUGUUAUUUGAAUUUAUUUAUGUUUAUAGAACAUAAUUAUUUUAGACACCAUGAGACUAUGCCUUUUUCCGGUUUGAUCGUUAUAAAUGGUAGACUUUGCCUUCUUUACGAUCAAAUAAAAAGUUACGUCUUUUCCGGAUAGAUCGUUAUAUAUGGUAGGCUAUGCCUCCUUUACGAUCAAAUAAAUAGCUAUGCUUUUUCCGGAACGAUCGUCAUAUAUGGUAGAUUUUACCUUCCUAACGAUCAAAUGAAAAUUUAUAUUUUUCCGGAUUGAUCGAUAUAUAUGGUAGGCUCUGCCUCCUUCUCUACGAUCAAACGAAAGCUAUUCCUAUUGAAUUCUUAAUUAUAUGGAAGGCGAUGCCUCCUGAAUUCUUGUAUGAAAAGGGUAUAGUCCAUAAAUAAUUAUUUUUGUGAAUUUAUAUGUUUAGUUAUUUUUAUUUAUUUUAUUCGUAAAGAAUAAAUAUAUGUGUUAUAUGAGAUUUAAAGACUUUGAAAUAUGUCUUUUAAAUCAAAAAUAUAUUUCUCUUAUGAGAAUAUAUAAAGCACGUGUCAAUAUAUUUUUAGACAGUGCAAAAUAAUUGGAAGGCCUAAAUGAGCUAGUCUCUCGACUUCCAAAUGCAUCAGAUUCAUAAUAAUCGAUGCUUCGUGUUCUCCAAAGUCUCAAAGAAACUCGUGGAGUUUCAAAGACAUUUUUCUUUAUAUUAUUGUAUUGAGACUAUAAAUAAAUGUGGUAUUGAAUGUCCGACUACAAUGGAGACACGCAAAUGUAUGAUUAUAAAUAAAGAUGGCAAAAUUAUUUAUAAUAGUAAACAUGAAGUUUACUAAUGCUUUAAGCAUAGCAUAACCGAUUAAGCCAUCCCGGUAGAAAAAUGCAAUUAAAAAUAAUGAUCCAGAUCCAGGAUCCGUAUCAGUGCCAGCAAGGGCCUGAUUGAAAAAACAAAAGUGCAAUAUAUUGAAUUUCUCUUCCUUAAUAAAAGAGAUGUCUUUGGACCUCUUGUCACUACAUCUAAAGAUGUAAAACCUGUUAUGUGCAAGUGGGUCUUCGUGCGUAAAAGUUGAAAUCACACGAUAUAAAGUCCGACUUGUUGCACAAAGUUUUUCUCAAAGACCUGGAGUUAAUUAUGAAAAAAACCAUAUUCUCCGGUUAUAGAUGCAAUUACAUUCAGGUACUUAACGAGCCUAAGGGUCUCUUAUAUUUUAGAAAUGUACCUUAUGAAUGUAGUGACAACAUGUUUAUAUGGAUCGUUGGAUUUAAUAUCUACAUAAAAAUCCUAAAAGGAUUUAAAGUUCCAGAGGCAUUAGACUCAAAGUCUAAUGAAAUAUGUACGGUCAAAUUACAGCGAUCACUUUACGGAUUAAAACAAUCCAGACGCAUGUCGUAUAAUCGCUGAAGCGAUUAUUUAUUUAAGAAAGGGUAUGUUAGUAACAAAAUAUGCCCUUGCGUCUUUAUUUAAAAAAAAUCUCUAUCGAGAUUUGUGAUCAUUGCUGUAUAUGUUGAUGACCUAAAUUAGAACUCAAAAAGAGUGAUUAAAUAUCACUUAAAAUUUAUGUAAAGAAAGAAAAGCUUAUUCAAGCACUGCAUGCUUCCGUCCAUAUUUCUGAGGUAACAUUUUAUUUAUGUUUAAUUUAUUUAAAUUUAUUUAAAUAUUUAUAUUAUAUAUGGAGUCGAAGGUUAUAUACCUUCUCCUUAAUUCUGUAGUAGGCUCUGCCUCCAGAAUUAUAUGGUCUUUGGCCAAAUCACCAUUUUUCUUUGAUAAGCUCAUUAUAUAAUGGUCGAUUUCCGUAAUACUUCUCCCAAUUAAACCCCGUGUAUAACCGGUCUAAAAAAAAAGGAUUCGGUCCAAGAUGAAUAGGAUUAAAAAGCCAUCAUCUUGAGAAGGGGUAUUACAAGUCCCAAAAAAUUUAUAAGGAUCUAAGAUUAAAUACAUGAUCCAGAUUGGAUAUGUUAUUGAUCCUAAAGUGGGAUUCAUUUCUUGAUGAAUGAAUUCAAAGAGUUAUAAUCUCGAGGGAGAGAAUUAAAGGAAUCCCACAUCGACAAUAAGUCGAUAAAUGUUGGUGAAUUUGACACCCAAAGCGAAAUAACUCUCAUGAAGUCAUAUCCUAAAAUUUAUCACUUUUUGAUAAAGUGGAACAAUUAAAAAUGAUGUUCACUCUAAAAAUGAGCUUUAGCGAAUCGUUCAUAGCGCAAAUCUAAGAGAUUGCAAAACGAUUCAUGGUGAUUUAAUCUCCAUGUUUUUACAUGGAACAUGCAGUUUUGCAUGUAUUAAUAAUUUUAUGUUUUGAAUGAGUUAUAAAAAAUAUUUCUCCAAUGUUAUAUAUACAUGAUUGGAGAUCAAAUAUUUUUCAUUUUGAAUUUUAUGGGUGUGAGAUAUAUGUUAUAACUGCUCUUCUACACCGCAUCAAAAUAUCAUCCAAAAAGGAUGAAAUAUAUAGAUGCAGGAGAUGAGUCUCUGCUCUACAAAUACUGAGCCAUCUUAUGAGAGAUGAGCCUAUUGCAAGAUUUGCAAAGCAUCAUGUUGAUGAUAAAGUUCUCCAUCAUUAUGGGAGAAUCAUUGAAUAGUCUGGAUCUUUGAACAAAUGACUAUAAUAAAUAUGAACUUUAGAGUUCAAAAGUUCAACAAGAUCACUAUAUUCAGAAUAUAUUGCAAAUCAAAUGCAAAAAGCUGAUGGAUGAGAUUUCAUGAAAUUAUUGAGCCUCGUAUAAAUCCGUAUGAACUUAAAGUUCAUAGGAAAUCUCUUGUCCCAGCUUAAAAUGCUCUAAAAAAAAUAUGUCUCUGGCGGAUGACAUAUUAUUGUCUAUAACACGUAAAAAAACGUGAUAGACAACUUUGGUUCCAAAUAUAAAGAAAAUCCUCGAAUAUAAAAAAAAUGAGCAUAUUAUUACUAAAAAGAGGAUUGAACUCUUAAAAAGAGGAACAUAUAGACUCCUAAAAAGGAGCAAAGAGACUCCUAAAGAGGAGUAAAGAGACCGAUUGGCAUGGUUAAUAACGAAAUCAGGUACCUGGAUAAAAUCAUUUAUAAUGAUUAAGAGAUCUCGAAUAACCAUGUCAUUACGGCAAAUAUGGAACUAAAGACAACAUGAUGUCAACAAUAAAAAUGAUCUAGCGCGCAACUGUAAUUAAUGAGGAUCAUGAAUCUCCGCUCUGUGAGCGUAAAGAGAUAUAUAUUGGCCAAUAAAUAAAGAGGCAGCCAAGUCUAUAUUAAUCUCGUAUAAGAAACGAGUAAUCUCUGGACACAUGGUCCAAGCAUCAAAAGAGUAUUGUGAUACUUAAGACAAGACGGUGUGUCGCACCGGGUUUUUGUCAAAAUCACUCGAUAUUGAGUUGAUGAAUAAAUGACUUGAGCUGCGCCUCAUAGGAUGUCUGUAGGACUAAUCCCUGAAAGAUAUAUGAUAUCAUAGUUAUAAUCCCAGGAAGUUAUAAGUAUGAUGAUUUUGAACAUCAUCGAAACUCUUUAAGAGUUAUUUGGAAUAAAAGAUCUUGGAAAGACAAAAGUGUCUCUAGAUAUUUCAAUUACACAUCUAAAUAAAGAGAUGUUAUAUCAGUCACUUCUAAAGGAAGUCGACUCUAUAUAGUUUGAUCAUGAAGCACUAUAUAUAAAUGCUGACGAGUAUUUAUAUAUUUUGUGAAUUGUAGCUAGCAUAUAUAAAUGCUGAGGAGCAUUUAUAUAUCUAGUGAAUAUAUUGUACCUAGCAUUUGCUAUUGAUCUACUUGCAGGAUUGAUUCAUUUCCUCUGACUAGACCUUGAAUGAGUUCAAAUGUGUCAUCCACUAUCUACAAGAUUGAUGCCUUCAACAUAUACAAGUAGCAAGAAAUAUAGGCACCAAUGAAGAGCCAACAACAAGACACUGUUGCAAAUGUUUUCCAAUUCAAAGGAAGCUAUGUCAAGAGCGAGAUGACAAGACAUAUUUCUCCAAGAUUCUUCUCUUGCACUAAAAAAUCUGAGAAGAAGCAAGAAGUUGAUGUCCAGUAUAUCCGGGCAAGUAACAAUGUAGCAGUUUCAGUUCAAAGGCGCUCCUACCACGACAUUCUAAAGCAUCUUCGUAGAUCAAAAGGUCUCUUUUGAAGAUGAUGUUUCCAGGGGGAGACAUAUGAUGAUGAGCGUGGCUGCACUCUUUUUUCCUUAUCAUGGUUUUUAUCCCACUGAGUUUUUCCAUGACAAGGUUUUUAACGAGACAUCAAAUAACACGCAAAAGAUAGACAUCAAAGUGAAGGUCUAUCUCUCUUCAAAAAUCUUUGUCAUAGAUUGACGAGAUCAGAAGAAGCGAAGAGAAUAUUCAAGAUGUAUCAUCUACGAAAGCUAUGAAGAGAACAAGUUCCGUCUGUUCCAGGGGGAGAUUGCGUCACUGUACUCUUUUCUUUAAUCAUGGUUUUUAUCAUAUACGGUUUUUCCAUGAUAAAGUUUUUAACGAGGCAGUACGCAAUACUCUAAUAGUGAUGGAUACUCAAGGGGAGUAUUAUAAAUGUGAUGAUUAUCCAUCACUUGAUCUUAUCUCUUGAGAGUUACUUAGUCCCCAAGUUGCUUUGUUGCCAAGCAAUUGACACUUAUCCAUUCCCAAGCUUUCACUAUAUAUAUGCUCAUUUACCACAUUGUCCGAGAGAUAAGAUGUAGAGAGAAGUUAAAAAAGAUGAGAAGUGUUUCGUUUGUUCUAACUUUCUCCCCCACUCUCAUUCUCUCUCUAAUAUAUAUAUAUAUCAAAACACAUAUACAUAUAUUUAUUAUGUUAUGAUUUAUAACAGAUUCUAUCAUUUUAAGCACUAUACUAUAUAAAAGUCGAGGCUAUAAGCUCUUGAAGACGUCCAGGUGGGAUUUUAAACGACCAAUCGCGGUUGGACAUCUCAUUAAUUAACUUUUUUAGUCAUCAUAUUAGUUAACAUUUUUACAUUCUAAUAUUUUCUAUAUUAAAAUAUUUAUGAAAAGGAAAUACAACAAUACAUAUGUAAAGAAGAGAAAAAUGUCAAAUGUUGAAAAACAACAUAUGGAAAUUUUUUGGUUUAAAUGAAAAGGAAAAGGUUAAUAAUGAAAAGGAAAAAUUCUACUUAACAAAAAAAAAAAGCAAGACCAAGUGUCGUUAGCUCAACUGGUAAAGAUCCUAGGCAAAGCUUAGAGGUCCCCGGUUCGAGUGAUGCUUGGGACGAAACUAAUAUUACAUGCUGUGGUUUUAGGCCUAUGGGGAUUACGGGCUUUGGUCUGGAACCUCUCGGUAUUCAAAAAAAAAAAAGAGCAUGAAAGUUUCUAAAAACUAAAGUAUUAGUUUUAUGUAUAAAUAGCGUUCUAUAACUUAGAGUGAAACACAAAAAUAUCAUACUUUAUAUUUUUGCAAAAUAAAAAAAGCUUAGAGAAGAGGAUCUAGGUUUAGGGGAUGAGCGAGAUGUUAUUUUUGAAUCUGAUCAUCAAACUGAAGAAGCAGCUCGACCUCAGUUUGUAGAAGUCUUUCGAUUCUCGCUCAAUAAGACCUUUGAAGAAGAGGAUCAGGGUUUUGACUUUAAGGAUACACACGAGCUUAAAUUUAUCUAUGACGAAGAAGCUCCAUCUUAGCUUGGAGAAGUUUUAUUUUGUUUGAAACAAAAGCUUGGAGAAGUUGUUCCAUUCUAUGAAUUGUCGCGCUUAUUGGUUAAGCACGAUAUUAGCUUUGAAAUUGAUCAUAAAAUAGUGAUGUCGUCAGUGAGAAUGACAUGUGCACUACUUGUUUAGAAGAGUUUGACGAUGGAACAACCGAACAAGUAUCAUGACUUUACCAUGUGGACACGAGUUUGACGAGGGAUGUGUUAUAGAGUGGUUUGUGAGAAGUCAUGUUUAUCGAUUGUGUCGUUUCGAGUUGCCACGUUAAAUAUGAAGGGUGAGGGGGACCAAAAAGGUUACUAAAUUUUGUAUAAAGGAUUUUUGCAAGAUCAUAGUUUAUUUUAAUGUAAAUUAUUUUCUAUGGUUCUAUAUAUGCUCUCGAUUAAAUUUAUAGUAUUGGACUCUCAUUCAAAAAUCAUAACUAUAUUGAUCAUACUCGAUUAUUGUUUAGACUUAAAUAAUAGAAAUGUAAACUUUUAAAACACGACAUAUAUAAAUUAAAACAUAUAAAAUUUAAUUAUUGUAAUAUAAUAUAAAAUAAAAUAUAAUUAUUAGUCUCAUAACGUUAGCUUCCAAAUAAAUUAGGAAACUUUCCUAAUUCAAAAAUAAUAUAGUUAAUUAACAUGAGAAACUUUAGAAAAUUAAAAAAUUAUGACAUAAUUUAUAUAAGAAAAAAAUAUUAACUUAAUAUUAUAUUAAAAAUUUGUUAAUUGUAACUUAUAAGGUAGUGAUUUUAUUCCCAACUAUACAUAAUUAUCAAUAACUAAAAUAUUACAAUUCCAAAAUCGUGGUAACAUAUGGUUAAUAAUAUGACAAUUUGUUAAAUUUUAAAUACGAAAUUAUCUCAUGCACGUGAUUCUAUGUUAAUAUGGUUCUGAGAUUAUAUGUUAAAUGCUAAAUACAACUAAAUAUAUAAAAAAAAUCAUAUAUGUUAAAUCGUUCGAAGAUAUUGUAAACGAAAAUUUUCAAACUUUUCAAAACCAGAAAAAUAUGUUAAUGUUAGAAAAAGAAUUUCUGCGUUUUAGUUUAUACUAAAAAAGAAAACUACUACUAAAAGAUGAGGAACAAUACGACUAAACAACAAAAUGGAAUAUAUUCAAUUAACAACACAACCGAGAAAUAAGUUAACGAUGGUCAAAUAAAUUAUAGUUUAAAACAAAAGGAAAAAUUCCACUUAAUUAGUAAAAAAAGGAAAAUAGAAAAGUUUUUUAAUUAUAAAGUUGCGUUUUAGUAUAAAUAGCCAUUUAAAACUGAUAAUGGAACAUGAAAUUGCGAGAAAAGGGGAACAUACACAAAGAUUCGAUCGGGGAAUUUGCAAAUGAAGAUUUGGAAUAGGAGAUUGCGAGAUGCUUGAGAUUUCGGAAAUAGUGUGGCAAUACGAGUCUGAAAUUAACGGAUUCGAGCUGAAAGAACGAUAAAGAAUCGUGCUUCUCAUGAGCAGCCACGUUUCUCUCUAUAUACGUCUCUAUUUUUUUUUUUUUUUGUGUUUUACAUGGCCACCAUGUUUUCAGCCAACUCAAAAUUCCUCGGUAAGAUAAUAUAUGUCUUUUUCGAAUUUUAUGUCUUUAAUUAGAUUUUACUUGCCAUCAUUUGCUUUUUUGCAACAGCUGGCACAUGGGGUUUUUGGGACGUCAUGGUUUUCCUAAACCCAAAAAUCUCUUGAAUUAUCACUAAAAUCAAAUAAAUUCUUGCGUUUAAGGGUAAAAAUGGAGAAGUGUCAAUCCGGAUUUUUAGUCAAAAAUAUAUCACUAUAUAAUUGCUUGAUUAAUAGCAAAAACACUUUACUAAUAGAUAAGAGAAAUACAUGUAUGCCUAAAUGUGUACAUAUUUUGGUAGUUUAAUUUAUAAUAAUUUAUAUAAUUGCUUUAUUAAUAGAAAAAUCUUUAACAAUAUAAAACAAAUAAGAGAAAAUCACACAUCAUAUUUGCAAUAUGUUUACACCAAAUUUUAUUCUAUAAACGUUUUUUUAUUAAAACAAAAUUUUAAAUAGCAUAAAUGAUACUAAAAAAAUAAAAAUAAAACAUCUGUGUUAAAAAAAAUAAAAAUAAAAAUAAAAAUAUACCAUUAUAUUAUGUUUGCAUUACUAAUGUCAAUCUAUAGCUACUUAAAUGAUUACUAAUGCUUAGAAUAUAUUUAAACAAUUGUUAACAACAAACCCCCGCGUAGUGAGGGUUAAUAAUCUAAUAAAACUAAUAAGGGUUGUUUCUUUUAGGUAAAAUAAAAUUGCCAAAACGAAAGUUUAGGUGCUAGUUCGCAGCCCCGGCCCAAAAGUUUUAAAUGCCCAAAAGCAGUGUUGUUUUUACCCUUCAUUGUAGGCCUGUGCAAAUAAACCGAACCGAAUGUACCGAACCGAAAUCGAAGAAAAAAAAACCGAACCGAACCGAACCGAACAUUUAAAAAUAACCGAAUGAAUACUAAAUUCUAUAACCAAAAUAACCGUAACCGAAUCGAUACCGAACCGAAAUAUUUCGGAUAACCGAAAUACCCGAAAUACAAUUAUAUUUUCAAAAUAAUUAGUUAUUUAUAGACCAAAUAAUCAAAAAUACUUGAAAAAUAUAUAAAAAUAGUAAAAAUAUUCGAAAAACCGAAAUAUAUCCAAAAAUAUCCAAAAAUACUCAAAAAUAACCGAAAUAUCCGAAAAUAUCCUAAACAAAAUAACCGAAUGGAUACUAAAUUUUAAAACCGAAAGAAUCGGAACCGAACCGAAACCGAACCAAAAUUUCAAAAUAUCCGAAUGGAUACUAAAUUUUAAAACCGAAAGAACGGAAACCGAAUGGACCCAACCGAUAACCGAACGGUUAACCGAAAUCCCAGGCCUACUUCAUUGUAACACAAAAUAUUUUGGGCCUUCUCAAUAUUUAUUUUAAUAAAAUUGGCCAUUUUUCGUUAAUUUUUAAUAAGAAAAACGAAAAAUGGACUCUCAAAUAUGAUAUUUUUGGGUCCUUAUAAAAUAAAUUGGGCCCUUUUGCUUAAGAAAAUUUUGGAAAAGUGGUUUUGUCUCAUAACUACAACAUGUAACGAAGAGAAUACAUCACACCAAAGAUUCUCAGUACUACAUACGUAUUCGGAAUACAUACAUAGAUCAAAUUAGAUAUAUUAUCAUAUUAUAUGAAUACAUACAUUAGAUAUAUUAUCAUAUUAUAUGCAUCACACACAAAAAAAAACAUUAUUUGCUGCUUUUUUACAUAAAUAGCUCAAGAUAGUUUUUGUUUUUUUAUUGAACUCUACCAAAAACUAUAAUUUAAUAGACUAAUACAAAGGUUAUGCACAACCCCAUCACCUAUCAUUCACCCCUAAUCGACAAAAUUAAAAAGAUUCAAUCAAGAAAAAUACUAAGAACCUAGAAAGAUUUCAUCACCAUCAGAAGUACUCAGAUUAUAUUAGUUUAUAACUUUUGCUAAUACUAUACCUCACCAUCAUGGUCUUCUUCUUCCUUCUUCUUCGUUUUUUUCUCAUAACUUAAGAUCUCAUAAGAACCCAUUGUAGUCUUACUUAUGCAUCAUCCUCCAUUAGGCAUUGUCUUUAACUCAUUCACUGUGGCUCUAAUCUGCUCCUGAACCAAUUCUAAUCUCCUCGAAUACACUUCCAACUCAAGAAUCUGCUGUCUCCUCCACCGUUCGUCCCCUACUCCCUUACCACCAAACCCUAAAUUCAUCGACAGCAUUAACAUCGGACUCAACACACCAAGAGCAUGAGCACCACCGCCAGGAAACCCACCCAUUGCAGCCAUCAUCAUUCCCGUCGUACCAUUCAUCAUCUCCUUAAUCAUAGGCGAUACACAAUUCUUCACCGUCUCUUCUAUCAUCCCUCCUAAAUUCCUCCCAUCACCAAAAUCACCAGCAACAGCCACAUUCUCAUUAAGAUUAACAGCAUUCGGCAUUAGCCCUUCACUCGGAGCAAUAACAGGCUUAUCUUCAUCAAUCUUCCCGAUCCUCGAUCGUGAUCGUUUUCUACUAAUUGUCACUUUCUUCUCCAAACCGUUUUCAGAAUCAACAUCCACAUUCACAAUCGAGACAUUGAAACUCGAGCUACCAUUCGUGUUAUUUACAUGAUUGGUUUCUUCGAAAUCCAUCACAUUAUUAUCCUCAAACCCAAUAAUUUUCCCAGUUUGAUUCCAAAUCUUCCUAGAGAUAUCAAAAGUAGCUUGAUCAUGAGGACUUUUAAAGAAUACCUCUUUACCAGAACUAAACUUACUCAUAACAUUCCUAUACUUCUUCUUCAACCUCCUUAGCUUCUCCACAAGCUGAUUCUUAUUAAAAUCCAAUUGAAGUUUCGAUUUGAUCUGCUCGUAAAACGGCGCCGUAUCCGGCGGAUGCGAGCUGUUACCACGGUGGCUCGUGAUGUAAUCGAGAAAUCCACGGAGAAGCUCGAUCUCGUCUUCAUCAGUCCAUAGUCUCUGGAAUAAACGUCGAGAAUCAUCAAUCGGUGGUUUCUGAUGAACGAUUUCGGUCAUACGGUGCCAUUUCUGAUCGGAAUCUGAUGGAAUUGAAGAUACAGGUACGGCGGAUCCGGCGGGAAGAGCGACGGUUACGGUUCCGGAGGUUGAUUUCGCCACCGGAGCUGUGGAAAUUGCGGAAAUCAUUGACGGAGAAUUCAGAUCUUCGUAUUCUGGAUCAGGAUCGUGAUCGUGAUCGUCGUCUUCGGCUUCGUUUGGUUCAGGUAUAACAACAUCUUCGUCGGAUUCAGUUUCUCCUCCUCCUCGGCCACCGCCACCGCCGCCGUCUUCUUCUAGAUCCAGUGAUUCAACGGAGAAAUCAGUGUCACGUUGAUCAGAUGCCAUGAAGAAACGCAGCGAGAGAGAUAUUUUUUCGAAUUGAUCGAAUCAGAUCCACAAAGAAGGAAUUGGGUUCACGAGGAUUGAUACGGCUUUGUUUUUGGGUGGUAGGGUUUGAGAAUAUUGGUGACGAGUAGGGGUAGUUUCGGGAUUUUAAUAGUUAUAAUUAUGACUAAGGCGUUGCGAAUUGCAGGCAAGUGGUCCAGUGUUUGUUUCUUUACCCGUGCUUGGGUUGUUGCGGUUUUAGUUGAAGCGUGAUCAUGUCUUCAAAGUCAAUGGUCUCUACCGCAAGCACAGCGAAACAGAAAAGCGUUUGAUAAACGUGAGUGUUGGCGAAAAGUGCGUUUUCAGGGAUGUAAACGUUUCUUUAACGUCCAUUUUAACGGGUCUGAUUGGUGACCAGUGUUUACGGCUGUUAAGAAUUUGUUCAAUGAUUAUAAAAAAAAACUAUUGAAGAGAAUGCGAUAAAAUUAAAUAAAAAAAAAGCGGUUAGAUUUAAAUAGACGAUGAUACAAUAAUUAUUAUUAGUAACAAAUUAUAUAGUUCAAAAAAAAAAAUCAAAAAUCGGUUUGGGUGGCGACUAGGCAUCUGUCUAGAUGCUCAUGAACCUCUAAACACUAAAAUUAUCAAAAUCCUUUAUUCGAUCAAAUCAGCUAGUUUUUACUUUUUAGUGCAUAUUUUUCUUUUUCUUUAAGUUUAAUAAUCUUUUAAUAUAACAAUACAAAUAAUAUAUAUCCAACAAAACAAAAAGGUUAAGAAAAAUCGAAUAGUUCGUUUGGUUAACAAGGCGAUUGGUAAAAAAUAAAAUCACAUGCUUGUGAAUAGGCAUGACCACGAUUACGGUUGAUUAACCACCGGUUAUUGUUAUAAAUUUUCUUUAACAGUAAUUUUAAUCAUUAUAUGUACAGUUAAAACGGUUACGAUUAAAACGAUUACAGUUAAAUACGGUUACGGUUACAGUGGUUACAGUUAAAUACGGUUACGGUUAUUUGAUGAUUACGAUACAUUUAAUAUCAAAAAUGAAAUCUUACGAGUUACGUGAUAUUUUGUACUAGUUUUAAUAAGAUGAAAAUUAUUUUAUAAACCAAAUUUUGUUCAUUUCGAGCAAUAUAGCAUUACAAUAUAUUUGUUUGAGAAAAAGAUCAUUUUUUCUAACCUAGAUUUUUCCAUAUGCGGUGUCAUUUACUUUUUUGAAAAACUUUAUCUGAACAUUCGAUAUUUGUUUUGCACUAUACGCAAUUACAAUUAUAUUUUAAAAGUUUUAACUAUGCGGUUAACCGUACGGUUAACUAACGGUUUUGAUACGUUUAUGGUUAAUUAACGGUUACGGUUAGUAUAUUUUUUAACCGUAACUAAUCUAUUUUUACGGUUAACGGUAACGGUUUUUAACCGUUUUUUAAGGUUACGGUUGAGAAACGGUCCGGUUACGGUUAGCUUUUAGUCAUGCCUACUUGUGAACCGCUUCAUAUUUUAACCUUCUCUUUUUAACUACCUAUUUUAAUCUUCCAUUUCAACAUUUCGUUUUAUUCCGUCUGAUUGGUAACUUAAUAAGGAGUUAAACUUUCAACCACCUUAAAUUAGGCUACCAAUGAAAGCCAACUUUUGAUUCAACAAAUGUUUAAUAGAAGAAACCAAUUCGAUUUAUUAGUGCAGAACUUGUUCUUGUACAGAAAAUAAAGAUUUUGACAGAAAAGAAAGUAUUUACCAGUUCAAUUCAAAUGAAGAAAAGAAAUUACAAAGCAUGUCAACAAGAACCGAAAUUGAGUUUUUCUUUUUUUCUUUUGCUUCUGUUUUUAAAAUGAACAAUUUGAAACAAAGAUUUAUUUUAGUUAAAGCAAGUGCAUUUCUUCUUCUACUACUUCUAAUUACCAUCAUGAAGGAGAAGAAGAAGAAGAAGAAUAUGGUAAUGGAGAAGAGCUUUAGUAUAAACGGAACUUCUCCUUUGUGUUCUGGAAAACUUGCUCCGCAAUAGCGGCGCCAUUCCCGUCUGCUUUCUUGAUCUCCAGACUAGAUUUCUGGUAAACCCCUGUGCCUCUCAAAGCAUCAGCGAUGAAGUCAUCAAACCCGAUGGCUAUAGCUGCUUCGGCUUUGGCUCCAUAAACCAACCUCUGUUCACAAUUAGAGAGAUGAGUACUCAUUGUCAUAAUGAAGAGAAUUUAAAAAAUGGGUUUGUGUGCAGACAUGUUUCGACAUUUUACCUUGAGUCUCGAGAGAUGAAUGGCUCCAAAGCACAUGGGACACGGCUCACAAGAAGCAUAAAUCUCGCACUCUGAUAACUCGAUUUUGUUAAGUUUCUUGCAUGCCUACGAGUUCACAAUAGAUUCAAAUCAUCUUUAGGAAAUCGGCCUUUGCAACGUUUCAAAAUUCUCAGAGCAAAGUGACUGCAGCAAAUCGCAUACUAUUUUUUUUACCUCUCUAAUGGCGGUGACUUCAGCAUGUGCAGUUGGGUCUGUAUAUUUCAAAACCAUAUUGUGGCAGCUAGCGACAACCUCAUCCUUAUGCACAAUCACCGCACCAAAUGGGCCACCAUCACCACAGUCAACUCCCUUGUAAGCUUCUUCGACAGCUUGCGUUAGGAAUUUGUGGUCGCUGUCGUGAACAGCUGAUCAAAGACAAAGUAUAAACAUAAACCACAACAACUUCUGCAAACACACACAAUCUUCAACUAAGGAUGAUGGAAACAGAAAUCAAAAAUGGCAAUGGCAAAACUACAAAGCCAAAGGUUCCUAUAAGCAUCACAACUGAUCAUAAGUCAUCACUAUAAGUGAUUGCAUCCAAAUGUUAAGGUCUAUUACCUUGUUGGUGACCGGAAAAUGCAGAAGCCACGGAGAUGGUACCGUCUUUUGCUUCCACUACACAGUUCAAUAACAAAGUAAAUCAGAUCUUCCAAACACAAACCAUCAAAGAACAAUAGUAAAAGAAAACCAAAUCGGCACAAUUCAUGUUCUAGGCAACAAAUAAGAGCCAUUGAUCAACAAGAGCUCAUAGUUACUCACAUCACAACUUAGUAGACACAAGAAACAGAUACAAGUAAACAUGAAUCUGAUUACACAAAACUAGAACCGAUUGUUUCUAAUCUAGAAUUUUACCAUCUGCAUGUGAAAAGAAUUCAAGAAAAUCUGAAGAAAUAGUCCAAAAUCGAAGGAAAUUUCUGGAUUCCCGAUCUGGAAGUUCAACAAUUGAAUCAGCUUGAGAUAAAGAGUCUGAUUCGAGAUCAAAUCAAAAAUCGCGAAGAUCGAUUUCGUUGUAUAAUCCAAAAACAACGAAUCUCGAGUAGAAAUUUACAAAAUCGAAGGAAAAUUAGUACUCCGAUCGUGGUCGAGAAACAACACAAAAUGUGAUGAGGAUUCGUAAUUGAUUUUACCUUUAGCUUCUUCCAUGACUGAGAACUUAAAGGAUGAUGAUGAUUCUGGGGAUUUCUGGAGAAAUUGAAGAAGGUGGUUGUGUGGUGUGUGAAGGAGAUUGAAGAAGACGAGAAGUGUUUUAUAAACAAAAUCAGAGAAGUCCAAAAUUUGAGAUUUGAGAGAUAGAGACGAACACCAGAAGCUGAGGUGUGAGAGAGAUAAAUUGUGGAAAGUGAAUUUGUGAGGAAGGAACCAAGAAAAUUGGGUUUAAUACUUAAAAAGGUGUGAUUACUUUAAAAACUCACUUACAACAUUUUUUUUUUUUUAACUCAAUUUUUCUGAAUAAUCACAAUUUUUUUGAGAAAUCUGUAUGUUGAGGAUUGUGAAUUAUCAAAAUUUAAUUUUAUUUGUUUGAUUCGGUUUUAUAGUUAUCAUAAAUGCGAUAUUUGCAGACGAUUGUGUUUGUUGGCGUUUAACAAGAAUCACGAAAAUUGUUAAAGUAUCAAAAACUCUUAUCUGCAAGUGUUUGCGACGACAUAGAGACAUAGAGUUAAACAAAUCUAUUAAAAUUUAUCUUAAAUAAUUAUAAACAUUCCAAAAAUAUUUUUUUCCCAAUUCGCGAUCGAAGAAAUAAAAACUUAUAGCCUAUGGAACUCAAUAUUUGGUGGAAACAGUAUCAAUUGCCUGCUAUUAUAGAGCUGACGUUCUCAUAAGGCAACAACUCCCAACAUUUACCAUUGCUUGCAGGUACAAUGUUAUGAUAACAUUGUUAUCCGGUUAUUGCUCUUAGCUCGUGCUCAUCUAGUUAAAUAUAUAUUCUACGGUAAAAAAAGAAAUAUCGAAUAUUCUCUCUAAUACACUAAACUGAUUUUAGAUGGCUGAUAUGAUUGUAGAUUUAUUAUAUAAAAAAGGAACAAAAAGUAUAUGAAGAAAUUGCACAAUAAUAGAAUCGGAUAAGUCAAAUGACUCAAAUGGGAUCAGGAGCACGUUAGCAUUCGGAAGAUAAGACUCAUCUUCCAUAAAACUGUGCAAAAGAAUGCGCAGUAAAAAGCCAUAUUACGGUAAAUGGGAAUAUGGACCCAAAAUUAUAAUCAUCUUUCUCUUUUUUGGUCGACUUCUUAGUAAAAAUUGGAGUUAGUUUCAUCGUUUAAUUUGUUUAUGAAAUUUUAUUUUGAAUUUUAUUAUAUUCUUAAAAAAAAUUAGGGUGAGGACAUAGAAGAAAAAAAUAAAACCAUAUAAGCAAAUAACUAUUUGUUUUUCUUUUCAUUUAUUCUUUGGUUGGCCAGAAGACCACUUGUGCUAAGAAAAUAUACAUUUAACAUUACAUAAAAAAAGAAAAAUAUACAUUUUAAAAAGAAGACUAUGUUAAUAAUCUAAUCUGAUAAGAGUAGUACCUCUCACAAAAAUUGUAAAUUGACAACCAUAAAAUACAAAUUUGGUAAAGAAAAGGACAAAAUAUUUUAUAGACGAAUAAAUGUAUGUGUGAGUUACAUGCGAUGUAAACAAUAAUAUAACUAUUUUAUUUAUUCGAAACAAUUAUUGAACGAGAGAGACGCACGUUACCGGUGUGAGUUGGUUAAAUGAAUAAACGAAAAAACAAUUGAAUCGAAUGGCCCAUUAUUGUUGACGCAUCAAUCGUCUUUCUUUAACAAUUAAAAGUAAUAAUACAAUAUUUGGAAUUUAGAAAUUGUUAUACGUUACAGUUGUUGGUAUUUUUAAAAAACGUUACAAUGAACGAUGGCAAAUAUUUUCGAGACUAUUUUAUAAUCUAAUAUUAAAUUAUAUUAAAAGAAAAAAUAAAUGUGUAUACACAAAAAUGCAAAUUUUUGUCUAAAAAAAACUUUCUAUUUGUGACGUUGUAUCGAUGCAAACCACAUUUAAAUCUCACCGGCAUAUCUCCUUUCACCUUUUCGCUUUAGUGUGUUCAACCAGUUUCGAAUGUUCUUAUCUAUUAUCUUGACAAUUUUUUCUAUCCAUGAAAGUUGUUCGCCAUAUCUCCUGUCAUUUCUCUUUCCACAUGGAAUGAAUCGUGUUCUAAAAAACAUAUACACGAUUAUAAAUCUUUUAGUGUUGUCAAAAUCUUUAUUCGAGACCUUAUGCGUAUAACCCUUAAAUUAGUCAACAUUAGUAGACAUUUACAAGAAGUUUCGUCAAAAAAAUAAAAGAGCAAAGUUGUUUUAGUUCUUCAAAUAUCAGAAUUGUAUUUACACAAUUGAAAUGCAAAUCACACAAUUCACCACAAAUGUUCGCGUGUGCGGCUCCCACUCUUACCCGAUUCUUCCUUCUUGCCUCCUUUCUUUUAAAAGAUAAUAAGAAAUAUUGGACCUAUAAAGAAAGCAUGAAUAAUCAAGAGUGUAUGCAAAAGCAACCACGAGAUAGCCAUUUACAAAAAUCGUUCUGGUUUUAUUUAAUUUAUUAUAAACGUUUAAAAUAACAAAAAUCUUUGACUUUCUACAUGUCUUGAUUAAAUUAGUCUUGAUUUUACCCUAAGAUUUCAGCCGAUAAUAUAUAUAUAUAUAUAUAUAUAUAUAUAUAUAUAUAUGAAUGCUCUUUGUUUUACCAAGAACUAGAUCCCAGUUCCAAGAAAAUUAACCUCUCUUUGAUUUUAAUAAUUGUAGAUAUGUCGGGUCUAAAUGGUAACCAAGGAAUCUGGCUGAAUCCGGCUGAAUUGCUGAAUUUGGCUGAAUUUUUAGUGAUUUUUAGCUGAAUCUGGCUGAAUUUUUACAUUUUCAAAUAGUAACCGCUGAAUCUAGCUGAAUUUUUUUGUGUUUUUCAGCAGAAUCUGUCGAAAUAAUUAAGACUUUAACUGAAAUAUCGUCAAAUAAUUACGAAUAUUAAUAGAAUAACUAAGGAAAAAUAUCAAAAUAAAAUAGAUAAAAUUAUCUAAUAGUCUAAUUAACUCUUAUACCAAUAAAUAAAUACUAGAAUUAAUAUAUUUUUAGCAAAAUUGAGUUGUUCUUCCAAAUCUAAUUUUUGAACUAUUAAAAAGAUAUAAUUAAUUAAUAGAAAGCUUUGUCAAAGUUUUAUUGAAAAAUUAAUUUAAAAAUAAACAUGAUAAUAUAGUAUAGAUUAUCUUAUUGAUUUUUCAUUGUUCUCUAGUAGUUUAAAUCCUUAAUAUGAUUAGGAUGAUUAACAAUUUUUUUUUAAUUUGAUAUUUUAAAUAUUAUUUUAGCAUAAGUCUGAGUUAUUUUUGCAAAAAUUUGGAAAAUUAUAUUUAAGUAUCUAAAAUUUAUUAAAAUUAUCUAUAGAUAUCUGAACAUAAAUAUGUCUUUUGUCUAUUCUAGUAAUGAUUUUAUGUGUAUGAAUUAUUCAUAUAUCGUAUUUGUAUGAUCUAACUUAUUUUAAAAUAUAAAUUUGAUGUGUAAUUUUUAAUAGCCAAAAAUAUUUUAAUUCGAGUUGUGAAUCGCUAUAAUCCAAAUUUUAUCUGAAAUGAACAUACUAUGUAUCUGUUGAUGUUGGAAAAACUGUUGAAUCUGGCUGAAUUCAGCUGAAUUUAGUUUUAUGCAAAUGGUAACUGCGGAAUUGCUGAAUCUGGCUGAAUCUGGCUUAAUCUGGCUUAAUAUUUUUUUCAUGUUACCAUUUACACUCGUAUUUUUUUUUGCAAGACAAACAUCAAUGUCAAAUAAAUGCAGGUGAAACCACAAUCUCAAAAAUCACCCGCAGUACAGCCCUUCCGUGUAUCGAUGAAGUGACAGUUCGAUAACUCAUUUUAUGUAAUAUUGGAGUAUCGUGCAUCUUGAACCUCAACUUGGUUAAUUCCUCCAUCAUAGUGUCAUCCCACCAUUUUCAUGAUUACUUGUCAACAAUGAAGCAAGGUAACUUGAUGUUAAGUUGAUAUAAAUCUCAAAUGAUCUUGAGGUUAACUUUUGUUAAUUAUGUUUUGUUGGAUUUGAUUAUUUUUAGCUUGAAUUUGAUAUGGAUCUCUGUUUUGUUUAGGUGAAUUGGAGAAACUGCGAGAGAUGGUGACACAAUGAUCACCAAUGCAGCAAGGUAAUUCUUCUUCCUUUUACUCUUUGCUAAAUGAAUCUUAAGUUGUUUGUGUUUUCUUCUAAAUGAAUCGUAAGUUGUUUGUGUUCUGUUCGAAAUGAAUCUUAACUUCUAUGUGUUCUGUUCUGCUAAUGCUUCUUUAACUUCUAUGUGUUCUGUUCUGCUAAUGCUUCUUUAGUGUGUUGUCAAGUAGAAAAUCACUGCUUAUAUUGGUUAGCUUUUGAUCAUUGCAUAUAUUGGAAUGUUUUUUUUUUAUCACUGCAUAUAUUGUGGUUCUUGUUUCAUGUUUAGGCUGCAUAUAUUGGUGAGAACAUGGCUAGCAUAUAUCGGUUUCAGAGUUUCAAAGGAUGAAGCUGUGAGAAGCAAAUGUUGGGCAUAAAUGGCAAGUACAUGCAAGUGUUGUUCAGUGUAUAGGCCACAUGGUCGUCGAGUGUGUACAAAUGGCAAGUAUAGUUUGUAUAGUUUGUGUAGCAUGUGUGAAUGGCAAGUGUAGUUUUUGUGUCAAGUUUUGUAAAACACUUUUACACAUUUUUUCAAAAAUUUAAAAUUUUAAAACUUCAAUAUAGGAUCCACCAUCACCAUUGGAUUAUGUUAAAACUAAAAAUGCCGUGAAAGUCUCUAAAUUUUAAAUUUUGCAUUAUGGUUUAGAUCCCGAGAAAACAUAACAAAUUUUUCCUCUGUUCUCAUAGCAACUAACAAAUUUUCAGUAGAAUCCAAAAAAUUCAAAUCAGUAGAUUAAAUUUAGCAACAUUUAGUCUAUAUUUGUAAUGCAGUCAUGUUGACUUCUAAACAAAAUUGAAAGUUCAAGAAGAUUGUCUCAAUGUCCCAAACGCAAGAGGUUGAAGUUUAAAAUAAAUGUAUUCAAACAAAAUCUUGACAUGUUCUCUAACACUUAAAACAAGAUCCAAACCAAGAUAGAACGAGUGUGACAAU